rnacentral:lncRNA from 1 species
AAAACAAUUCUGGUUCGAUUGUUUCUAGAGCCUCUCUGCAACUUUCUUCUACAUUUUUAAUACUAGUUUUGUGUCUAUAUCACACUCUUCCAAAUGUUAGAUGCUUCCAAAAAUAAAGAAUCCCAUGAUUGGUGUCUCUUAAUGACAUCAGUUGUUUGGUUGUUACAAUAGGCAACUUAUGGUGUAUUGAUAGUUAAACCAAGGAUUUCAUGGACAUCUUCCUCGUUUGCAUCAAAAAACUUACCAUUUAUCCUCAAAAUUGAAGGAUUUGGUUCAAACGCCACUAACAGAAACUCGAAAAUCUACAUAGGAUACUCAUUCAAGUGAAAACUUAAUAUUGAAUCAAACCCCGUAGAGCGAGCAGAUUCAUGACUUCUGAUCGUGCGAUAGUGAGGAUAGAACUUCUACAAGCAAACAAGGUUUAACCCUAACAAUGGGUUCGAUUUUUUGUCCUAUUCAUGUUUCAUAUAGUAUAUGAUAUAGAACCCUAGUUCAUUACAUAUUUUUCAUUCAUGGCCUUAUUCUUUUAUAGGUUUUUAAAGCAACAGCCCAUUUGAAGGUUCUUGUAGUUCUGAUGGUUAUGAUAUUGAUUUACAAGAUCUAUGCAAGGACCUCCCGGGUCGAAACCAUUAUUAAAUCAACGAUUCAAUUUCAUUGAUGAAAGUUUUCUCUACUAAAAAGAUUAUCGGAGAUUGUCUGAGUUUUUUGUGUGUGAUAGGCUUGUUUGUUUCUCCCUAGUGUUCUUAUAGAGAUUCUGAUAUUAUUAAGAGAUUUGUAUUAAAGUUUUACCAUAUUAAGAUAUUGUAUUAAAGUUUUACCAUAUUCACAUUGAAGGUGUCCAUUAAUGCAUAGGUUUACCAUCCAUGAUGUAUGCAUUGUAUUUAAUGAUUUUAAAAUUUGAAUUUUCUUUACUAGUUUCCUUAUUUAUGUUUGUGUAGUGUGAUUUGAUUGCUACAAGUGAGUUCCUUUCCAUUUUUAAGAUUCUCUUCGGAAUCUUACCUCAAAGUUAAUGUUAUAGUUUAACAAAUAAGGAAACGACAACUUAAUAGAAUUUUUAUUCUCAAAUAAUAAAAUAUUUAAUCUUAUACUACAAUAUUCAAAUAUUUAAUCUUACGCGGGAACACUAAAAUGAAUCCAUGAUAAAAUAAGUGAAAAUAUAAACAAAUAUGAAAAUUGUAUAAAAUUGAAAAUUCACAAUAUACCUGACAAAAAAAAAUCACAAUAUUUACUCAAAAAAAUUAUAUUAAAUUUUAUAUUAAAACAAUUUAUAUAUUAUGCACAAAUCUAAAUAUUACGAGCAAAAAAAUGUUCUAGAUCUCUCAUUACAACCUUAGUAUUUUUGAAAACACCUUAAUGAAUCUCCAUAUUAAUCAAGUUAUAAAUUUUAAAAAAACACAACUAUAUAUUUUUAUUAUAUGGAUACGUAACACCUUAAAGAAUCUCUACGAAAGAAGAUAUUGAAUUAAUAUUUGAAAAUCUUAAAUUAGCAGGACAUUUAAUGAAUGAAUUUAUUUAUUUUUAAAUUUAUCAUCUAAAAUUAAAUAAAAUGCAAAGGUGCAAUUUUUAUCGGAUUCGUAAGUAACAUCUUAAAGAAUAUCUAUGAAAUCAGUAAGAAAAAAUUUGAAAAUAUAAGUUAUUCCAUAAGAUAUUUUACAUUUUUGGUGAAGAGCGCAUGCAUUAAUAUAAAUCUUAUUUAAAUAAUUUAAAAUAUUUAUACAUUGUCAUCCAAUUUUUAAUAAAAUUGGAUACUUUGAUCAUGAAAUUGUUAUCAUGUAUCCAAGGAACACCAGAAAGAAUCUAGUAAAAAUAACUUAGUAAUUUAAUAUUAAAAAAAUAUAAAUUAGUAGGUAAAAUAUGGGUGAAAGCCCUUUAUCUCAUUUUUUCGGUUGGGCCUGCCCAAAAUAUCGAUUCUCAUCCCGCGUGUCCAAAUUGAUAUUUUGUAUGCGCAUUUGACAUAUGCGAUUAUCAACAUACGCAUAAACAAAAUGCGUAUAGCCAUUUUCUAGAUAUGUUUCCCUUUAUUUAUUUUCUGUACACGCGUUAACAAGAUGCGAGGCGCUAUACACGCAUAAUAAGAAUGCGUAUAUUACUUCAUUAUAAACACUUAUCUCACCUCUGACGUCUUUUUUGUGCUUUUUUGAUUGACUAUUUUUUUUAGACAAACCAUGGAAAUUGUUUAUGUACACACUAGACGUGAACAUUUGUAGAUUUGUAUUUGACUACUUCCUAUGUUUUUAAAUAUAUGUCUUUUGAUUUUUUGACACAUACUUGUAAAUCUUUUGACUGUAUAGUUAAAAUCAUUAUUUUUGUAAUUUUUUUUGAAUAAAAAUAUACAAAUAAUAUUAUAAUUUAAAAAAAAAGUUUAAAAAAUUACAAUUUUAACUAAACGGUUAAAUGACUUAGAAGUGUGGUUCAAAAAAUUAAGCGACCUAUAUUUCACGGAAAGAGUAUAAUUCAAGAAAAGAGAUGAACGCUUACGUGUUAGGUAAAGAUUGGCUCGGGGAGAAAUUUAAUUUGAAGCGGAGCACAAGAUGGUUGGUGACUAAAGCAAAGUAUAGGCAGGUUAUCUUGAAACGAUAUAUGCAUUUGAUGCAUGCGCAUGCACAUGGGUAGAUUGGACAUCGAUCCCGAAAAAUUGUAUUUUGGGCAAGUAACAGUAUAUUUUAUGUCAAUAUGGGCAUUUUCUCGUAAAAUAUACUACAACAGUAAAGAAAGAAUGAGAUUUUCUUCGUCAACUCAGAAUAGUAAUAAAUACAAAAGAUUUUGCAGAUAUUAAAAGUAGACCUUAUUGAUAUUAUUUUUAUUUUUAUUUUUUAAAUUUUAAUAUUAAAAUAUAUAAUUAUUUUUAUCUCUUUCCACGAACACGUUAUAAAAUUUCCAUAUCAAUUAAAACAUUAAAUCCUUAAUACAAAGUUUUUCAAAUCUCUAUUCACCUUCCAAAAAAGUUCAGAUAAUUUUUCUCACAUUUUUAAUAAUAAUAAAUUUAUGAAAGAUUAAUUUGAAUAUCUAUUGAAGCAUUUAUUUUCUAAAAUUUAAUAACGUCAAUAUCUAAAAUUUUAAGAAAAAUAUUAUCUACUUUUAACGGAUGGUAAAGAGACAUUAUUGGUUGUAUUAUGUAUUUUAAAAAAAAAUAAAAGUAAUAAUUCAACUUAAAUUAAAUGAAAAUGCAUCAUUCUUAACACUCCAUUCACGAACGCCUUAACGAAUCUCUCUCAAUUAUAUCUUGCCAUUUUUAACCAAAUUAUAAUCUUCAACCACUUUUAACCAUAGAUUUUUUGUCAAAACCUUAUAUUUUAAAUUAUAUUUGAAAAAUAACAAAAGAUAUUGUGCACAAACCUUUGAUAAAGAUAUUGUGCACAAGCCUUUGAAAGAAAAUUCGAAUGAAAAAUUUUAAAAAACGCCUUAAUGAAUAAAGUUAUAAAUAUUUUAUUGAGAAUUUUUUAAGUGCUUUCCUCGUUUAAAUUAAAUUAUUCUUAAUUAUCAUUAUAUGUAUUAUAACCGGUAGAAUCUUAAUUAAUUUAUCACUAACAUAUAUUAUAUUAAAAUUAAAUUUGACCUAUUUUAGAAUCUUAAUGUAAUCGUUCUCCUAUGCUAAGUCCGACAUAAAAAAGAAUUCUAUUUUAAUGUUUCUUCUAUGCUGAUAUAAAUUAUUUAAUCUAUUGUAAUAAAUAUUUGAUUAAGAUUUUCUUUACUAUAGGAAGAGAUAUAAAAUGUGAAUAAAAUACUUUAAAGAAUCUCAUUUAAAAAAUAAAAUACAUUAUAAAAUCCAAAAAUUAAAAUAUGAUGAUGUAGUUUGGAGGAUAAUUUAAUAUAUGAUUUCUAUAAACUUUUGAAAUAUUUUUUUAAUAAUAUUUUCUCAUUAUAAAUUUAUUGUUCAUGUCAAAUGAAUUUUUUUUUAUAAUUUAUGAUUCUUUAUAGUGUUUUUGAUUCUUUAAUCUUUGGUGUAUUCUUCCGUUUUUAUUAACGUCUCCUUGGAGGAAUAUAUUUUUAAGUUCUACUAAAUAAAAUAAAUAGAAAACUAUUUCGAGAAAUAUUAUAAUGAAUCUUUUAGAGAUCAAAAUUGUAAAACUAUCACAUUUGAUUUGAGUUAGUAUGAGGAACCCUAUAAAUUUAUAAUGAAUUAUCUGGUUCUAUGAGAACACCUAUAAGAACAUCUAUUUAAACAACACAUAUAUAAAAAAUUGCAACCAGUGUUAUGCUAUAUUCACCAUCAAGAUAAAGUUCAAUUUGAACUUGAUAGCUUUGCAAAGAUCAGAGGGAGUUACUUGAUAACAAUGCUUUGCCCUUGUUAAAUUAUUCGCCAAGCUCUUUAUCACAUUCGUCCUUUCAACAAAAACAAUAUCUUGUUCGCCAAUGAGGAACCCAUGAUUUCACGAACAUCUAUUCCUUUGACUGGAAACUUAAUACAGAACCAAACCUAGUAGAAGAAAUCCAUGAUUUUUGAUCAUCAGACAGCCUAAUCAUCGGCCUCUCGUGUCUGGACAAAGAACACGUAAAAGAAAAAUAAGAGAGGAUUCUUUACAGUGUUCUGUAAUAACUUCGUAUAUAAAAUAGUGAUUCCGAAAGAACACAUAAAAUAAAACUAAAAGGGGAUUCUGAAAGAUGAAAAACCAAAAACAAACCUUCUGUCACCAACGUUAGCUUAAGUCGACAUUGACAUUAGAAAGCUUUGCAACUUUUUUCAGUAGUUACGGGCUUGGUUUCGAGAUAUAUUUCGUAUAUAUCCAUCACUGCAAAGCUUCCUAAUAUAAACAAUCCCAUGAUUGAAGCACGAAAUCAAAAGAAUAUACAGCUUACCAUAAAAAAACGUAUACAGAUCGUAUCCCUGCAAAUAUAUAUCAGCGUAUACCCUUUUUUUUUUACCAGCGUGCCCCUGUGCUUGUUGAUAGAGUAUGAUCUGAUCAACGGCCAAUAUCACGUCUCUCUGGUCUCUUAUGUGCGUCUCUCUGGAACUUGACCCUGUAUAUAUAUAUACACACACUCUCAUAUAAAAUUCUAAAUAUUUUACCGGUUGUCACAUAUCCCGUCCGAAAACUAUCUACGCCUUGAAGGUAUUCACACAGACCAUCUUAGAGAGGAUUAGAGUGUACUAGCACCGGAAUCUUUUUGCUCUCUCUAUCUCUCUCACGAGCUCCUAGGCUUUUGUGUAUUUUUAUCAAUAUAAUAACGUAAACCUUAAUCUUGGCUUAAAAAGAUAUUAUAUAGAGAGUGAAAAGACUCCUAACUCUAAAAUAAUUUUAGAGUUUAAUUAAUCCGAAAUUCCUAGUCAUGAUAGAUUUAGUCUUACUUAAUCAACCAACAACUUAAUUUUGAUUAUUAAUAAAUUCGAAUUCCUCAUUUAUUUAAUUAAUCGAGUCCUACUCAAUUAAUCAAUAAAUAAUUUAAUUAUUACCAUUUAAUCUAAAAUUUAAAUUAAAUAAUCCUCUAAUCACUCUUUGUGUAACCCAGGUUAUUAUUAUAUUGAAAAUAAUUUAAUAUCUUAUAUUAAAAUUAUAAAUGAUGACCGGCAUCUACUAAUACAUAAUUACUACCCAAGUAAUAAUAAAUUAAACCGAUGAUCGUUUAAAACUUUCAUGAAUAAUGAAUAAUGAAUAAUGUAUAAAUUAAACUAGAAGCAUUUAAUAUGUCAUCCUCAUCUAGUUCAAUCCGUGUUUUCUUCAUGAAUGAGUAGACUACCAUUUCAAAUCAUCAUUUGAGCAUGACCACGCAUUUCAUAGUCCAUAUAUUUCAUAUGAUUCAAAUGUACCCAAAGUACACUUUUAUCAUUAACCGAUCAAAGACAAGUUUUGAGAUAAUCAAAGUACCAGAUCAAAGACAAGUUUUAAUAUAAUCAAAGUACAUUAAUCAUUGUAUAAAAAUAUAAUAAUUUUAGUUCUAACGAUCAUUACAUUAUUAUCACGGUGAGAUUACUUAUGACACCAUAGACAUGAAGGACCUCACAUUGGGUCGCACCAUAUAUGCUUGUGUUUUUGACUUUAGUAUCCCUCUACCUGUGAUCAAUGAAAUUCCGAUAAUAAUAAUACUCGAAUAGGGAUGUUUGGGAGUAUCAAUAAUAUUCUUAUAAUCUCAUUUCUAAGUCAUAUUCGGGAUAUAGAAUUCAUAUUAUAUUUCAAGGACAUUUAUUAACUAACAUUUAUAUUGCAUUAAAUAAAGAUAUAAUAACUUAUAAAAGGAAUAAGCAAUAGAAGAAUGUUAUUAAUAAUCAUAUGUCUUUACUAGUGUUGUCUGGGCAUACAAUAACAAUAUAAACCCACGUCUAGUGAAUAUUAUUAUCAAUAUUAAAGUAUCCAUAAAGAUCAUAAUUUUGUGUUCUGUAUAUGUGAUAGUAAUUAAUAUUAGCUAAUAGUAGUGCUUCUAUGAGUUUUUAAAAAUCUUCCUUUAAUAUUUAUGAGCUAUAGCUACUAUAUUAUUUUUAUUUGAAAAGAUUUACUCAAAUCCCAAUAUGAAGGUGACUCCCAAGCAUUGUCCGAAGCACGUAUAAUAAGAAGCGUUGUCCAAAUUUUUUUAAUUGGAUGAAGCGUAUUUGAUGAUCCUACCGUGCAAGCGUGUACAAGGAAGAUACACUUCAUCCAACGUGUGAAACAUCACCCAGUUUAUUAAUCCUAAGUACUAGAGCAACAAAAUCAUGAAAAUGACCAUGAUCAAUGAAGAAGCAUGAUCUACUACGUUAAGUGUCGUCUAGUACAUGAACUUUAGGAAACUAGUUUAGGCUGACUCCUAAUUUAAAUGGCAUGCCUCACUAAAUUAUCCUAGCCAAAAUCAAGUAUACCAUAAAACUAAAAAAUAAUGAAGGCCUAGAGGAGUUUUUACAUGUAUAGGAAGGUUCGUAGAAGAAUUUAAAUAAUUAAUGAGAACUGUUAAGGGUGUUUUAGUGUCAACUUCUCCCACACAAUAGUAAAUACAAUAUGCGAGUCUUCUAAAACUUUCUUGAAAGACUUGGUUCAUAUUGUUUCUUCCUUCGUAAAGUAUAGCGGUACUUUAUUAUUCUAGGCAUUUCGCCAUUUUCUUGAGAACAAUCAGUUUCUUUUGUUCAAAAGAGACACAUUAUUUGACGUUAAAUGGCAUAAUGGUCGUUUCCUUGAAUAUAUUUCAAUUAUAUGAAUAUCCACCGACUCAUUUAUUAGUUAAAACUUAUUGAAUACAAGUCUUGCUUCAAAAUUCAAAGUUUUUUUUUAAUUGGUAUUAUAUUGAUUCAUAUGACUUUAUAAUUGAAAAUGAACAACAUGAGGAGGUGUAUCCAUGUUAGUAGGUAAAGAACUACCCAGGGAGGACUAAUAUGAUCAGUGUUACUAGUGAGUCCAUGGUUACUGAUUGAAUUCUGGAAACGAUAGAGUAAAGUGGUGCUACGUUUCAACCGUUAUCGGGCUAGGCACAGCAUCACCUGAGAACAUUAUUUGCUUAGAGUUAGUUGAUCACAUUAUGGGGUACCUUGAUGGAAUGUGACUAUAUUAUCCGGUGAACGUAUAAAAAUUAAGAUACAAAUUUUAUAUUCUUCUAGUUAAUGAACUACAUGAAAAGAGUUAUUUGGUUGUUUUUAUUGAUGGAAUAUGUUACCGUUUUUGCCUUAAUUUUUGACAUUAGUGAUUGGUAUAUUGCAUGAACUCACUCAUGUGGAGUACUAUUUAUUCUUUCUUAUCACAAAUACUAGUGCUAUAUACUUGCUCAAAAUUCAGUUGUUGCUUCUUGCUAUUUUUUGGAUAAGUGUGACUUUAGCCAGUAAAAGGAAAACCAAGGGCAAGGGUCAUGCCUAAUAUUAUGAUGAUUAGCUUUGUGAUUCACUAUAUAAGCUUGUGGAUGGAUAUCAAUGGUUCUCCAAGCAUGAUAGGGGACGAGAUGCCUUUAACUUAUAUAAAAUUUAUAGUUAAUAAUAAGACUUUGUGGUUGUGUGUGAUCUUAAUCCCGGGGGAUUGUAAUAUAUUAAGAUAUUAUAAUUAUAAAAUGUUGUAAUAAAGAGUGUGUGUGGGAAGAUCCUUGGAUCUUUGAAUUGGAAAUCCAUGGGUGAGUAUAAGUUUGUAUUGUUAUUGUUAUUACUUUUGCAUUGGAAACUCCUAUUAAUAUUUAUUUGUUUUAGAUUUUAUCUACUGAGGAUCAUCUAUACUUCAAUUUCAUGCUUUAAUCGGCUUUUCCACACUAUUCUUAAUAGUGUCAGAACAAAGGAUACUAUAAGAUCAAGAAUGGAUUUGCAAGCAAUGGGUAUCAUGCGCGAGUUAUGGCUUAACGGUACACGUAAGCCAAAAGCUAAAUACAACCUCACCCGAGAUCAGUUGAAAUUACUAUGUAAAUGGGUGCAUAGAUUGAAACUCCCAGAUGGUUGUUCGUCAAACUUGAAGAGAUGUUGUAAGAUAUCUCAAUUGAAAUUUCAAGGCAUGAAGUCACAUGAUUGUCACGUAUUUAUGCAGAAGUUGUUGCCUUCAGCUUUUCGUGAACUUCUUCCAGAUGAUGUGAACAAACUACUUUAUGACUUGUCAAAUUUUUUCAAACACUUGUUAAAUGGUUAUUGCCUUUUACUCUUGACCAUUAUGUAAAUGAUUAUCACAUUAAAAUUAAAUUGACAAGCACUUCAUGUUGUGGUUAACUAUUGUAGUUAAUAAAUUUAUCCAACCACAAUAAGCCAGUUUGUUGUAGUUCAUGUAAACUUAAUUAAAUAUCAAAAACCUUAUUUAUUAUGUUGGGUCCUCAUUUUAUUUUAUUAAUAUACAUAUAAAUAUUAUAGUUUAAGUUUGUUUUAAUUUUGCUGAGCUAAUUAUUAAUAACUUACAAAGCAGAAAACUAUUGCCUUGUAAUUAUGCUAAGGAAUAUAUAUAUAUAAAGCUAUAUAUAUGCUUUGAAGAGUUCUCUUACAUAUAUGAGAAAUGACAAUUAAAUAGCUGAACUUAGACUAAUUUCAGCGGAGUACCUUACUAUCAGGAAGAAAACUUUAUCCUAUAUUGGCUGUUGACUGGGGGCACCUCCCCCAGUGCACAAUAUAUAGGUCGGCCCCUGUACUUAAUGAAUUAAGUUAGUUGCUACAGAUUCCUUCAUUAUUUCAUCAUGUUUCCAUUUAGUGUAUAUAUAUGUUUUUAUCAACUUUUUAAUAAAUUAUUUUGUAUGUCUAUUGUAGGGCAAGGCUAUCGACAUUGGGGAUGGUGCUGAUGUUGAUCAAAACGGGAGGGAUGAUGAGAGCACCGACUCCGAAGAUCGUGACAUGAGUCAUCCCUAUAUUGUUGUGCCUAGGGGUGGUCCAGUUAUUAAGGGAUCAUAAUAUUUAGUUUUAUAAAUGUAACUUGACUUUGUAUGGAUGUUUGUAUGAUAUUCUAUUUUUGGUACAAAUAUUUAUUAGGAUGUUAUUUAAUGAAACUAUGGUAUUGCAUAUUUAUUUGUUGGAUUGGUUUAUAUUAGUUGAAGUGUUUGUUAGAGUAGUAAAAGAUGUUGAACAUGAUUUGGUGUGGAAAAAAUUUGAAUGCCACAAAAUGGUGGGAAUAAAGCCAAAUAAAGCAGAUUAUUUUAUAUGAGUUUUAAAUCUACGACGGAACAAUGCGUCAUAAGUUUCAGUUUUUCUCCAAAAUUUACGACGGAUGUUCAUACAUAACUUCUGUCAUAACAUAACUACCGACGGACGUUCCGUCGCAAGUUCAACUUUCUUCAAAAGGAAAACCAGGACCCACAACAUACAUGCGACGGAAACUUCCGUCGUAAGAUAGUUAACAUACGGCGGACAGUGCGUCGUAAGAUAAAAUUUAUCCAGGCAAGGAUUUGGGGCCCACAACAUACUUGCGACGGAAAGUUCCGUCGUAAAUUCCGUNAGUGCACAAUAUAUAGGUCGGCCCCUGUACUUAAUGAAUUAAGUUAGUUGCUACAGAUUCCUUCAUUAUUUCAUCAUGUUUCCAUUUAGUGUAUAUAUAUGUUUUUAUCAACUUUUUAAUAAAUUAUUUUGUAUGUCUAUUGUAGGGCAAGGCUAUCGACAUUGGGGAUGGUGCUGAUGUUGAUCAAAACGGGAGGGAUGAUGAGAGCACCGACUCCGAAGAUCGUGACAUGAGUCAUCCCUAUAUUGUUGUGCCUAGGGGUGGUCCAGUUAUUAAGGGAUCAUAAUAUUUAGUUUUAUAAAUGUAACUUGACUUUGUAUGGAUGUUUGUAUGAUAUUCUAUUUUUGGUACAAAUAUUUAUUAGGAUGUUAUUUAAUGAAACUAUGGUAUUGCAUAUUUAUUUGUUGGAUUGGUUUAUAUUAGUUGAAGUGUUUGUUAGAGUAGUAAAAGAUGUUGAACAUGAUUUGGUGUGGAAAAAAUUUGAAUGCCACAAAAUGGUGGGAAUAAAGCCAAAUAAAGCAGAUUAUUUUAUAUGAGUUUUAAAUCUACGACGGAACAAUGCGUCAUAAGUUUCAGUUUUUCUCCAAAAUUUACGACGGAUGUUCAUACAUAACUUCUGUCAUAACAUAACUACCGACGGACGUUCCGUCGCAAGUUCAACUUUCUUCAAAAGGAAAACCAGGACCCACAACAUACAUGCGACGGAAACUUCCGUCGUAAGAUAGUUAACAUACGGCGGACAGUGCGUCGUAAGAUAAAAUUUAUCCAGGCAAGGAUUUGGGGCCCACAACAUACUUGCGACGGAAAGUUCCGUCGUAAAUUCCGUAACUUACGACGGUUUUAAUACUUACGACGCAUGUUUGGAAUUGUGACGUAUGGUGCAACUUUCGACUUGACCAAAAACGAUGGAAAAAGUCCGUCGUUAAGUAAGAACUUACGACGGACUUGCGCCUUAACUUCCGUCGUAAAAACCCAGUUUUGUUGUAGUGUACACCUUGUUUUAUACUAAAUUAUCCAUGUCUUUUAUCAUUUCAACCAAAUAACUUAUCAAUUCGAAGGGGUAAUUUAGUACAAAGUAGAUGGAAGGGUGUGCAUAAAUACAUUUCGGGUGUGCAUAAAUACAAGUCGACUCAUAAAGAAAGUGAAUGACCAGAAGAGUAUCAAGAGAGAGACUGAAUCUUUGAAUUGAAAAUCCAUCCGUGAGUAUAAGUUUGUAUUGUUAGUGUUAUUGCUUUUGCAUUGGAAACUCCUAUUAAUAUCUAUGUGUUUUAGAUUUUAUCUAAUGAGGAUCAUCUAUACUUCAAUUUCAUGCUUUAACCGGCUUAGUACAACAUAUGUGGUUUUUACCACCAUAAAUAUUAGGUAAAAUUAAUUCUAAAUCCUUGAAUUAUAGGCACUUUUUUUUCUAGGUCCCUCAACUAUAAAUGUCAAUUCAUAAGUAAUUCAACUCUUGAUAUAAAUGAUAUAAUCCUUGAAUCAAAAAACAAAACUUAAAUGCAAACAUAUUUGUGGAGUAAUAUAUAGUUCUUAUUAUGAUUAAGAUCAUAAUAUAGUAUUCUCAUAGAAUAUAUAUCAUCUACCAUAUAUAUCAUAGUUGAGUUAAUAUGAUUUGAUCAUUCAAAUAAGAUUAAAUAGGUGUAUUACAAAAUUAUAAGGACUCGAAUAAAAUUUAGUUAAAUUAUAUAUAAAUAUAUAUAUAUAUAUAUCACAAAUUAAAGAAUUCGAUUACUAAUAUAAAAUAUUUAUUAGCAUAAAUAUAUAACAAACCAACAAAUGUAGAAGGUAUAUGGUAAUCUCAAGAUUCAGAAAUGGUAUGAUAUAUGUCGUCCUUACCUUAAUUCCUAGACAUCAACUUGUGUGAAACUUGUAUCCAGAUGUUAAGUAGUACAAAAAAAAAACACCAAUAGUUCAACAUAUGCUAAGGCUCUCCCAUACUUAGUAAAAAAGGCCUGAACAACAAAGCACAACUUGGUUGAUAAAUGUCAAGAAGUAGGACCCAACCGAUAAUAAUUUUAUAAAUUGAACAUUUUAAAGAGGAUUAUACAAAUAUAUAGAGUAUAUACAUAUGCUAAUGAAUUAAUUUAUCAUAUAUAUACAUGAAAAUCUAUAUUGAUUGAUGUAUGUUUUUAAAUCCCCAGUGGGAUUAUACAAAUAUAUAGAGUAUAUACAUAUGCUAAUGAAUUAAUUUAUCAUAUAUAUACAUGAAAAUCUAUAUUGAUUGAUGUAUGUUUUUAAAUCCCCAGUGUUGGACUUCGAUCCCGCGUCUCCUCAUUGUUGGAGUUACAAAUUCAACCAUACAACCACUUGAGCUAGGGAUCACCGGUGUUGAUUAUCUUAAAAUAUAUGUAUAUACAUAUAAAUUUAAGUCUAUUAAAUAAUUUUAUCAAUAUUAAGGUAUCCGUAAGAAAUCAUAAUUUGUUUUUCUAUAUAUGUGAUAGUAAUUAAUAGUAGGUAAUACAAGUGCUUGUAUAAGUUAUUAAAAUGAAUCCUUGAAUAUUUUUGAGUUAUUAUACAUUAUUAUUGUAAUUUUAAGAGAUUAACUAAAAUGCCAAUAUGAGGGUCACCAUGAAACAUUGAACCAAAACAAGAAGCGUUGUUAUAAUUUUUUUAAUAAGAAGAAGCGUAUUUGAGGAUUCUAGGUUGCAAGCGUCUACUAGGAAGAUACAGUGCACCCAAUUGUUGAAGCAUCACCGAGUUUUAAAAUCCCAAUUAGUAAAUAAAAAAAAACAUGAAAAUGGCCGUGCUCAAUGAAGAAGCAUCACCCACUACAUUAAGUGUCGUCUAGUUCAAAGCAUUCCGUCAUUUUCUUUAUAACGGUUAGUCUCUUUUGUUCAAGAGAGCCACAUUGUUUACGUUAAAUGACAUCAUGGUUGUGUCCGUGAAUGUAUCUAAAUCCUAUGAAUAUCCACUUAAUUAUUUGUUGGUUAGAACUUAUUUAACAUAUUUCUUGCUUAAAAUUAAAAAAUUUCUUUUAAAUCGGUAUUAUAUUGAUGGAAAUGACAUUAUAACUGAAAUUGGUCAACAUAGGGAGGUGUAUCCAUGAUAGUGUGUAAAUAACUACCUAGAGCGGACGGAUAUGGUUAUGGGUUAAUAUUAGUGGGUCUAGUGAGGCUGUGGUUACUCAUUGAAUGCUAACAAUGAAAGAGAGAGGUAGUUCUAUGGUUCAACAAUUAUCGGGCAAGGAACUGUGUCACCAUAGAGAAAUAUUUGCUCCGUUAUAGUUGAUCAGAUCAUGGGGGUAUCGGGAUGAAUAUAUGACAAGAUUAUCUAGUGUGAUAAAAAUUUAAAGAAUUUUAUUCAUUUGGUUAAUAAACUGCAUGAAUAUAUUUAUUUGGUUGUUUCAAAUGAUGCAAUAUAUUUGGUUGCUUGAAGGGCCUCUCACAAUGGUACUUGAUCCAACUGUUGUCUACAACUAGCUAUAACAAAGCUUUGUCUUACAAAGUAGUUGUUGUCCUGCUUUGACACCACGGGGAAAGAAGUUACCAUUGUUUAGAAAAAUUUAUAAAAGAAAAUAGAUAGCUUUGGUUGACACUAAUAAAACGUUGUAUGUAAGUUAGAAAACUAUUGUUAUAAAACCUCUUGCAUAAAUGUUCUUGUCUUAAAUUGUGGUCUACAGAAGGCUACUACAAGGCAUCUUUUUCAGACCUGUUGUUGCAAUGGUACUUGAUCCAACUGUUGUCUACAACUAGCUAUAACAAAGCUUUGUCUUACAAAGUAGUUGUUGUCCUGCUUUGACACCACGGGGAAAGAAGUUACCAUUGUUAAGAGAAAUAUAAAAGAAAAUAGAUAGCUUUGGUUGACACUAAUAAAACGUUGUGUGUAAGUUAGAAAACUAUUGUUAUAAAACCUCUUGCAUAAAUGUUCUUGUCUUAAAUUGUGGUCUACAGAAGGCUACUACAAGGCAUCUUUUUUAGACCUGUUGUUGCCAUGCUUUCCGACCAUAGGGUAGUCGAUGUAACGUUGUUUAACAGAAAAUAUAAAAAAAAUAGAAUGCCUUACUUGACAUGAAUACCCCGUUGUUUGUCACUUAAAAACGACUGUAUUAUAUGUCUUUUAACAAUUGUCUUUUAUAAGACAAUGUUGUUCUUAAGUACUUUAACAAGCAACAUGUAACUAUUGUGCUAUAUUGUUCUAACAAUGGUUAAUUCGUACUUGUCAGAUAUAAAUCAGAUGGCGGUCCGAUACUCAACAGGAGAUUUCAAGGUUAGACAAGGAUGAAAAACAGUUAUGUGAACUUGUUUUCUUUGUAGUGAUUUUGCCUUAAUUUUUUACAAUUUUCAUUGGUAUACAGCUUGAACUCACUCAUGGCGAGUAUCAUUUAUUGUUUAUUAUCACAAAUGUCAGUGGUAGAUACUUGGUGAGCAUUUAGUUUCUCCUUCUUGCUAUUUUCUUGAAAUCUUUUUUACACAGUUUAGUGUGAGAAGGAUGAGCACUUUAGCCAAUAAAAGAAAAUCAACGGCAACGGUCACGCCUAACAUAUGAUGAUUAGCUUUGUAAUUUGGGUCUUCAAGCAUUGUUGGGGGAGAUUCUUUUAAUUUAAUUUUACGACGUUUAUAGUUAUAAUAAUAAAACUUUGUGGUUGUGAUCUUAAUCCACAGAGAUUGUAAAAUCGUAAGAUAUUGUAACUACAAAUUGUUGUAAUAAUGAGUGUGGGUGCAAUAAUCCUUGGUUCUUUGAACCGGAAACCCAACUACCAAUAUAAGUUCCUAUUAUUAUUGUCACUGCCUGUUGCAAUUGUAAUUAGUGGUUAGCUGGUGUGGAGACAAGAAUUCGUGGCAUAGGAGUAGUAUUUGUUGUUUUCAGAAGAGGAAUCAUUUUUUCUUCAAAGUAUUUUUCUUUGUUUCUAUUUUCAGCAUAUAUCCUCAUAAAGAUACUUCUUUUUCAAAUAAAGAACCUCCACUGUAAUGUUGUUUAUCUUCCUCUCUCCCUCUCCCUCAAAACAAGAUCCAACAUUCCCACUAGUGCCUAUUAAAAUUCAGUUACCAUUUGACUAUAGAAAAACCUGUGAUUUUAAUUUUUACAAUAGAAACUCCUAUUCAUAUUUUUAACUUUAGAUUUUAUUUAAUUAGGAUUAUAUAAGACUCCAGUCUCAUGCUUUAACCGGCAAGGUACUUAUAUUUAACAUAUUUUGCAAGAAUAGUUCCUUAAAAAAGUUUAAGCAAAUGUUUUAUAGUUUCAAAAAUUUUAAAACAAGGAAGUGGUGAGGAACUUGACUAGUUUUUGGUUAACAAUAGUGGUCUUAACCACCAUAAACAUUAAAAUGUGCAAUUUCCUAUAAAUAUAACUUAUAUAAUAUAAUACCCAACAAUAUGUGUGAUUUAAAUCUACAUGUUUUCAGAAUUUAUAUUAUAAAUAAUAUAAAUUUUGAAUCAAUAUGGCGAAAAGUUUAUUGUGAAGGAUUAUAAAAAGAACAAAACUUGAAUGCAAACAUAUUUAUAAAAUAAUUUAAAGUUAUUAUUAGGAUUAUGAUAUGGUUAAUAGGUCACUCAACUCGUGGCUAACUUGCAGUUGAGUUAUUUAACUUAAUUAGCUUGCAGUCAACUAACUGAAAUAACAAAACUUUCAUUUAGAUACAACUGCUGGUGUGGUUAAUAAAAUGGACCUAACGGACCGGAAUAUCAAUUUUUGUAAAAUAUCUUUAUCUUUUAAAAUUUUAUGGAGGCAUUUCUAUAAGUUCGUAAAUUCAAAUUUUAUGGGGGGACCCCUAUAAUUUUGUAAAAAUUAUAGUGGUGUAAACUUGGGAUAAUAGGCUAAUACAUAACGAACUGACCUCUAACUUGAAUUUGGUUUAUUAAACUGAUAAAAGCUUACAUUUAGAUAUAUGCGAAGACCCAACUAUGCUAAAGUCUUCUCUUAAAGUCAAACAAGGGUUAAUGAUUGUGUAAACUUUUUAAUGUUAAAUGACUAAAUAGCAAGUUCAAUCUAGUUCCGUGAUCCGUUUGCAAGCUUUGUGUGUUUAAUAUCCCACCUGCAAGUUUAUCAUUAGUUGAGUAACCUUUUAGUCUUUUAACCCGAUUAUGAUCAUAUAGUAUGCAUAAAAUAUAUACAAUAUAACACAAAUGUGGUAUAUUAUAAUCUCAAGAUUUGGGGAGGGUAUGAUGUAUGCAGUUCUUACCUUCAUUUGUAAACCCCAUAUUAUGUGCAAAGAUGUAUGGAGAUGUGAAGUAAUAGUACUCUACAGAUGGGGAAAAAAAUACAAAUCAAUGGUUCAACAUAUGGGAAUAGGAAGAUCUCGUAGUACUCUACAUAUGGGAAAAAAUAAUACAAUAUCAAUAAUUCAACGUAUGAGAAGGCUAGCAUAUGCUUAUUAAGAUAAGCCUCAAAACAUAAUAAAACACAACUCAGUUCAAUAAAAGUCAAGAAACUCGACCAAACAAUGAAAAAAGCUCUAAAUUGAAAGUUUUAGAGCAAAAUACAAAUAUAUACAAUAUAAAUAAUCUACAGAACUAAUUACUCACAUAUGUACAUGAAAUUCUACUUCGAUUAAUGUACUUUUUCAACCCUGGUGCCGGGCUUCGAUCCCGCGUCUCCUCGUUGUUGGGGAAACAAAUUCACCCGCACAACCAGUUGACCUAGGGAGCACCGGUGUUAAUUAUCCUAAAAUAUAUGGAUAUAUAGGAAGGCCUAGAGGAAUUUUUACAUGUAUAGGAAGGACCAUAGAGGUCUUUAAAUGAUUAAUGAACAUUGUCGAGGGUGUUUUAGUGUCGACUUAUCCGGCCAAUAGUAAAGGCAAUAGACUAGUUUUCUACAACUUGUUUGAAACUGUCGAUUGAUAUUGUUUCUUCCUUUGUAAUAAAGUAUAUGGAUAUGGCUACUUUAUUGUUGAAAGAGUUCCACCAUUUUCUUCAUAACGGUUAGUCUCUUUUGUUUAAAAGAGACACAUUAUGUGACGUUAAAUGACAUAAUGGUUGUGUCCCUAAAUAUAUUUAAAUUCUAUGAAUAUUCAUUGACUCAUUUAUUUUGUAGAACUUGUAGAAUAUAAGUCUAGCUUCAAAGUUAUAAUUUUUUUUUCAAUUAGUGUUAUAUUGACUCAGAUGACAUUAUAACUAAAAAUGGUCAACAUGGAGAGAUGUAUCCAUGAUAGUGUGUAAAGAACUACUCCGAGCGGACAAAUAUGAUUAGUGUUUUUAGUGAGGUCAAGAUUAUGAUUGAAUGUUCUCAAGGAAGGAUUAAUGUGGUGCUACGUUUCAAUGGCGAUGGGGCCUGCAGGCAUGGUAUCACAUGAACAAUAUUUGCUCUGUGAUAGAUUCUGUGGUGAGUAGAUGAAAAUUUAGACAAGAAGUUUAUAUUUUUCUCGUUAAUGAACUGUAUGGAAAGAGUUAUUUGUGUUUUUUAAUUGAUGGAAUAUGUACAGUUUUUACCUUCAUUUAUUACAUUUGAGACUGUAUAUAGCUUGACCUCACUCAUGUCGAGUUUUAUAUAUUCUUUCUCACAAAUAUCAGUCUAUACACUUGCUGAGUAUUUUGUUGCUCCUUCUUGCUAUUUUCUUGAAAUCUUUUUUGAAUAGUUAAGUGUGAGACCGAUGAGCACUUUAGCUAGUAAAGGAAACCAAGGGCAAGGGUCAGGCCUAACAUGAUGAUUAUUAGCUUUUUGAUUCAGUGAAUAAGAUCGAUGAUCCAUGUUGGACCAUUGUAGGAGGAAGAUGUCUUUGAAUUAUAUGGAAUUUAUAGUUAUGAAUAUAAGACUUUACGAUUGUGAUCUUCAUGAGAGAUUAUAAUGUAUUAAGAUAUUAUAAUUAUAAAACAUCGAUGAUCCUUGGGCAAUAAACUAGAAACCCAUGGGUGAGGGUAAGUUUGUAUUAUUAUUGUUAUUAUUUGUUGCAGGUGUAAGUAGUGGUUCGAUGGUCUCGAGACCUGAAUCAAUAUGAGAUGAAUCUUGAGGUUGCACGAGUAUUUGUUAUUUCCUAAGGAGGAAUCAUUUUGUCUUCAAAGUCCUCAUGUUUGAACAUAUCCAUAUAAAGAUAGUUUUUCUAUCAAAACAACUUUCAUUUUUAACAAUCCUAUACUGACAAGAUAUUUGAAUAUCUGCAAUAAAGAUUCAAAAUAGAGCACUUCCACUUUAAUUCCCUCUAUCCCGAUAAGAUCCACUACUCCGACUAGUGCCAAUUAAAAUUCAGUAAUCUUUUGGCUAAAGAAAAAUAUACCAUUUUAAUUUUUACGGCUGAAACUUCUAUAAAUAUUUUUUAGCAUUAGAUUUUUUUUAACGAGGAUCAUCUAACAUGUCACUUUCAUGAUUAAACCAUUAUAGUACUUAUAUUUAACGUAUUUGACAAGAAUAGCUCCUUAAAAAUUUUAAGCAAAUGUGUUAGAGUUUGAAAAUUUUAUGAUGAGGAAUGUGUUGGCGAACUUCACUAAUUUUUAGUUAACAAUAUAAGUGGUAACUAAGAUAGAUAUUAAAAUGUGCAAUUCCCUAUAAAUAUAAUUUAAUAUACUACCCAACAAUAUGUAUUCUUUAAAUCUAUAUGUUUUUUAAAUUAUACAAUAAAUAUUAUAAUCCUUAAUCGAUAUGGCCAAACUUUUAUCAUUGAUGAUUAGAAAAAGAACAAAACAUGGAUUCAAACAUAUUUGUAAAGUAAUCUAAAGUUCUUAUUUAGAUUAUGAUUAUAUAGUAUGCAUAAAAUAUAUAUUAUCUACUACUUAAUAUAUCAUGUUCAAGUUAAUAUGAUUUGAUAAUUCAAAUAAGAUUAAAUAAGUGUAUUAUAAAACCCUAAGAAGUCAAAUAAUGUUAGGUCCUAUUAAUUCACUAUAUAUAAUAAUAUAGUGAUCACAAUAUGUAAUACAGUAUGACAAUAUAAGAGAUCGAAAGCAGUAAACUCUUAUGUUCACAAAACUUGAUGGUUACAAAAACUCUCUCAGUGAUUUAUAUUCUAUCACCAAGAGCUGCUAGGGUUCUUAACAAUAUACUUGAUAACUCAACUCAUAUAGAGUAACCCUAAUCUGUGUUUAUAUAGACACAGUUACAAAAUCAAUCUCUGAUUUGAUAUCCUAUAAAUCAGCUAAUAAAUCUAUCAAUCAAAGAUUGCUCCAGUUUUCUGUUUAGUUUCCAUAGUCAGCAAAUCACUCCUCAGCUUCUAUCCUUCCUUGAAGUAUAUCCGCUUCUGAGCUCUUUCCACGUGUAAACUCUGUCGAGUCUUGACUAUGUAAACUCUGAUCAGACUUUAUCAAACUCUGUCAGACUUUACUAAACUCUGAUCAGCUUCCAGUUUAAACUCUGAUGAUUCCUGUUCUAAAACAAACCUUAAGAACAUUAGUAAUCAUCAAUUAUAUCUAACAAUCUCCCCCAACUUGUGCAUGAAUAAGUUAUGUGCAAGUUAACAGAUAAUUGAUGAUGUCAAAACAUUUAAGUCAAAUGCAACAGAGUUUAACUAUAUAACAGAAAACUUUUAAAACUUACAGAUACUUUACUCCUUAGCUGCAUAGAUACCAUUUGUUGUCUUUAGAUACUCUCUGAGGAGUUCUUUCUCAGCUUCUUCAAGCACUGCAAUCAUUUGUCUCUUGAUCUCUCUCAGCUCUGGAUCUGAAACUCCAGUUUGAUAAAUUGCAGCUCUGAGAUCAUAAAUCUUGUUCUUCUUCAAGUCCCUAUCCAGCCUGAUAUUGUAAGCUUUAUCAGACUCUUCAUUAAAUGCAAGAGUUCUGAUUCCACCUAUUGUUUCAAUCUUUGCUGAAUUUUUCUUCAUCUCCACCAGCUGUCCUUUAUGAUUGAGGUAUUUAGGAAUGAAAGGUCCAGCAUUUUUGUUUCCUGUAAUCCCCAUCUUUCUUCUGAUUUGAUCUUUUAGCAGGUUGGAGAUGUGUUGUCCUGACUUGUUCUUUACUUGAAAUAUGUAUGAUACAUAUCUCAAUUCUUCCCAGUGUUUAGCAUAUAGAUCUGCUUCAAGUACUCUAAACACUGUUCCAUCAGACAUGAAGUAGAUAAGGAUAUUAUCUCCUCUGUCAUUCUUUACCAACUGGACUGAAUCAAGUUUGUCCAUUCUGUCUUGCAAUACUCCAGUCUUGGGAGCACAGAGAGAUGAGGGGUCAUCUGGUCUUGAUCCUAUACUCUGAUCAAAUUUUUCAUACUUGGAUCCCAGCCCUCCUUUAUCUCUUCCUGCCUUUUGAUGAGAAAAUGGUUUAAUUGAGCCUUUUUCAAAACUUAUUUCAGUCAUCAGAGUAGGCUUUGCAAAUCCAGCCAGUGGAGUAGUUGUUGGUUUGAACACAGCUUGAGCUUUGUCAGAGACUGUGUCUUUCUUUGCUUCCUUAUUGACUUGAGCUGUGUCAGAGGUCAAUCUUUCUUUUUGAGGUUCUGCAACAUGAGCUUUGUCAGAGAUUGCAGCUUCUGUUUUCUUUUCCUUCACAACUUGAUCCUUGUCAGAGGUUGUAGGCUUCUUCUUUUCCCAGCCUUUCUCCAGAUUUUCAUCUACUUUGCUUUUACCCUUGGAGGUGUAUUCAUCUUCAGAGUAUACCUUUUUGACUGGUAAACUCUGAUCAGCAACAGUAGAUUCCUUGAUCAGUAUUCCUUUUUCUUUUGGCUUGGUAGUUGACUUUGCAGGCUUUUGGAUCUUUCCAGAGUUUAUGGCUUCAAUAUGUUCCUUUUUCAGCUCAGCUUCCUCUGCAGCAAUCAACUCCAAAUCCAAAUUUGCUUCUGGAUUUUCUUGUUCAAAAACCAAUCUAGCAAGCUCUUCAUCAGUCAUGGGUUUGUCUGAUCCAGUCACUGGUCUUUGCUUAGAUCCAGAUGUGAUGUUGUGAGUUGGACCAGACUUUGUGCUUUGCUUAGAUUGUUUCUGACUGUCAGAGUUUGAAACUCUUCCACCAGUCCCUGCUUGAAAUCUCUUGUGCUUUGUGAAAUCAUCAGCAUCAUCAUCAUCAUCCUUUUUCUUCCUCUUCAGAGUUUGAGUAGUAGACUUGCAUUUGACUUGAGCUACUCUCUCCCCCUUUUUGACAUCAUCCUCAUCAGGAAUCAGAAUGGAUGUGAUCAGAGAAAGUGAAGUUUGGAUAGCUUCAAGCUGUUUGGACAUCUUUUCUUGAUUGGAUUCAAUCAAGGUCAUCCUUUGGUUAAGAGAUUCAUUUGUAGUGACCAGCUUCUGUACACUUUCUUUCAUAGGAUUGAUGGUCCUUUUCUUUUCCAGGUCAUUUGUCUCCUUGACCUUUGCCACCUCUGUUCUUAGACUAUCAAUGGAUUUAGAUGUCUGGGCAUGAGCAGGAUGAAAUGUCUUCAGAUAUAGAAUUGUGCCCUUGAGGCUUGACAUAACAUCAGAGUUUGUAAUUUUCUUCUCUGCCAUAGCUAAGAACUCUUCAGCUUUAGGUGUUUCCAAGGAGUGCUGGUGACUCAACCAGAGUUUAUCCCAGACUUCAUUUGGUGGAUCAACCUGAAGAUCCCUUGGGAGUGGCUCAGAGGCUGUAUUCAGAGUUUGUAGCCUUGCAUUGAACUGGCUAGUAGACUCCCAUUUCUGUUGUGUCAAAGGGAUUUCAGCAUUGUCAUCCUUGUCAGUAUCUGAACUGGUAUCAUCCUCAGUAUCAGAGUUUGCUUUUUCAUCUGCAGGAACAGGAUCUGCAACUUUCUCCACAUUAUCCUGAGCAGAUUUUCCUUUAUCUUCAGACUGUGACUUGAUGGGCUCUUCACCAGUCUGAGCAAGAGUUUGUAAAGCUUCCACAGCUACUUUGUCAGUUUCAUCAACUACAUCAGACCUGUAGUUCUCUGGAGCUGUAUCAUGAACAAUGGCAUCCUCUGGAAUUUUCAUUGGAGAUUGAGGAAUUUGACCAUGAUCAGAUAGUGGAGUUUGACAAUCAGACUGAGUUGCUCCAGCUUCAGCAGUAACUGGUUCAUCACACCUGAUCUCUUCAUCUACUGCAGAUGCUGUAGGAGAUGCUUUAGGAGAUGUUGUAGGAGAUAAUGGUGUGGCAUCAGUGAUAGGAACAGCUUGAAGAGGUUCCACCAUCAGAGCUUGAGAAGGAUCAACAGGAAUUGGGCUUGAUGGUGUUUGCUCUUCUUGGAUAGUGAAAUCAGUAAUUUCAGAUUCUGGAAUCUUGGCUCUCUUUGGCUUGUGUGCCCUUCUUUUGAAUCUAGCUGGUUUUUGUUGAGGACUAGACUGAGCAGGUUCAUUGGUUGUUGUAGGUGUAGGUUCAGAGUUUACAUCUUGUGCAGGUUCAAGAUCAUCAAAGUCAUAUGCUGCAACAAGCCUUCUUCUUUUCUUCUGCUUUGGAGGAGAAGCAGCUUCAGAGUUUACUGGGACAUCAGAGUUUGGAGAAUCAGAGUUUACUGGUAUAUCAGACUUUGUCUGUAGAACUUGUGUAUCGACAGAGGUUCUGGUUUUUGUUGUAGAGGGUUGGUCAUCAGACUUUAUUGAUUUGGAUGGUUUUGUAGUUGAUGAUCUGGGUUUUCUGGUGACUGUGGGAGAGGUAGGAUGUUGUGGUUGAGAUUGUUGAGGCUGUGGUUGUGGUUCCUGAGGAAGAUUCAGCCUUGCCCUGAAUGGAGCUGGGAUUUGCAGAGGCCUGAGAACUGGUCUCUUCUCAUCUUUAGAUAUGAGAUCCUUAAAAGCCCUUUUAUGAAGUUUAAAAGGUUUGAUCUCAUCUGCAGCAUCAAAAUCCACUUCUCCAACAGUGGCAUUAAACAACAAUUGACAAAAUCUUGAGAAAUAUAUGACUUUCCUGUUCUCAAGCAUUCUUUCACCAAUAUUUCUAAGAACUAAUCUACCAAAAUCAAAAGCAGUAGAAUAGAUCAGAGAAUACCCGAUCUGUAGCAUGUCCAUUGGAAUAGCAUCCCAGUUUGUAGAUUUCUUCUGGAAAGCUCUGGUAAUGCAAUCAAAGAAAAAACUCCACUCCUUAUUGAGCCAUGGACGCUUCAACUGACCCAGUUUAUCCAGAGAUUCGUAGUACCCCAAUUCAAGCAUCAUUGUUCUGAGAUUUGCAUCUCCAUUGGUAAUGUACGCAGAAUGUUCUGGCAAGUUGAGUGCCUGACGAACUGUUGCUGGAGUAACUGCAUACUCCUCCCCGUCAUAGGAAAACACAAUUGAUGGUGAUCCAUCUGCACCACCAUUGUCAUAUGUACCCGACCUCCAAAAGCUGAUGAUUUGGCUUCCUGAAAGUCUUGCAGGAGCGGUGAGAGCUGUACCGAUGACACUCUGUGCCAAGAAUCGCUGAAAGGGAUGAUAAUCCCUUGGGGCUUCAGCAGUGUCAAGGAUGGCUGCAUAGUUAUUAGGAACGAAUUCAACACCUGCCAAGAUAAAAGCUGUAGUGGCCAUUAGAACAGAGAUUAUGAAAAGAAGAUGUUUGAGGAAGUGUGUAGACGAAGAUUUGAAUUGCAGAGAACAGAGUGUAAGAGUUUUGUUUAGAAGGUGAAUGUAGAGAGUAAGUGUAAAAUUGAAUAAUAAGCAAUAAAAUCUGAUCUGAAAAACUCUUCAGAUUUUGUUGAACUGAGCACGCAUGGGCUUUUUGUUCAAUCAGACACCUGUCAAAAUGUAACUGGUAGAUGAGUGUUAGUGGGAUGGAGAAACGAGAGUAAUAAUCAUGAGUGCAGUAAAACAUGCGCAGUAAUAAAUGCUGAUUACACGUUCUCCUAUUAAAAUGUUUUGCAUGUAAACCCACUAAUAAUACAUCCGUUUGAAACACAUUCUCUUCACAUUCUCUGAAUAUUUGAAAAAAAAAUCAAGAUCAAAUCUCUCGAAUUUUUAAACUCUGAGAUUUAAGACAAAGAAAAUAAAUUUCUGCGAACCUCAGAAUAAAGACAUAAUUUUCAGAAUAUUCAUCAAUAAAUCAGAGUUUGUUCUAAAAUCCAUAGCUCAAUAAUGUGCUUGUGAAAUGUGUGUGUGGUCAUGUUAAAUCAGAGAAUAUAAAAUUUCACAAUUUCGUAAUUAUAAGGUAGACUUUGAAUAAUUUAUUCAAACUCUCAAAACUUAGACUAGGACAUACUCUGAAGAUAAUCAAUAAUCUACCCCCUUUUUUUUUUUUUUUUUUCGGUCAUCAGGACGCUUCUCAGUGUGAGUGAGGCACGACCUUUAAAUAUACUAUUGCAUUAGUAUUUCUCCAGUAAUCAGAGAUUGUGACUGGUCACCAUAGAUUAUAAAAUCUUAGCAAUUACUUAAUACCAGCAAAUGUUUGGUUCUUUCCAGUCACUGUCAUAUUAACAUCUAAGAUCUCAAAGGAGUACCAUGCUUAUUUUUCAGGGGGUUUUGUCUCAGGUAACAAAAACAUCAGAGUUUAUAAUCACUGUCUAGUAUAUGAGAGAAAAUUUAAAUUAAUCAGUCUCACUUAUAAUUAAGAUAUGUGAAGUAGUAGAGUCUCAAUGAUAUCAGCAUGCAUAGUGUGAACUAGUGUAGCACAAAAUUGAGAUCAGGAUUAAGGAACUUAGCUGAGAUUCAUGAUUACUCAUUCAGAACAUGCUUCAUGGUAUCUUCAUAGGUGAUUUGUCUCAGAGAAGAUAAAAAUGAGAUCACUUAUCAAGAUUCAGAGUUUUAUAAGCAUCAGAGAAUAUUAUCAGAGAAUGUUAUCAGAGUAAAGCAAACAGAGUAUAUUAUCAGAGAAUGUCAUCAGAUUUUAUCAAUCAGAGUAUAUCAUGGCAGAUGUGUGAGUAAUACAUAUGGUAAAUUUGACAAGUUAAAUUUUAAAGAUCUAACCAAUAUGUUUACUCAGUUCCUGAUAUCAUUCCUAGCUCAUUCACCAGCCUAGUAAAAGUUGCUUCACUUAAUGGCUUGGUGAAAAUGUCUGCUAGCUGCUGUUCAGUAGGAACAAAGUGAAGUUCAAUGGUUCCUUCCUCCACAUGCUCCCUUAUAAAAUGAUAUCUUAUACUGAUGUGCUUUGUCAGAGAAUGUUGAACUGGAUUUCCUGUCAUAGCAAUAGCACUUUGGUUAUCACAAUAAAUAGGAAUUUUAGAGAAGGAUAACCCAUAGUCCAACAGUUGAUUCUUCAUCCAAAGAAUUUGAGCACAACAGCUGCCUGCAGCAAUAUACUCUGAUUCUGCUGUUGAUGUUGAGAUGGACUUCUGCUUCUUACUGUACCAAGAAACUAGUCUUCCACCCAGAAAUUGACAACUCCCACUUGUGCUUUUCCUGUCAAUUUUGCAACCUGCAAAAUCUGCAUCAGAGUAUCCAAUAAGACUAAAAUCUGAUUCUCUAGGAUACCAUAAUCCCAAUGAUGUGGUUCCCUUGAGAUAUCUGAAUAUCCUCUUUACUGCAAUCAGAUGAGGUUCUCUUGGAUCUGCCUGAAAUCUUGCACAUAGACAUGUGGCAUACAUAAUGUCUGGUCUACUUGCAGUCAGAUAAAGCAAUGAUCCAAUCAUUCCUCUAUAGUUUGUGAUAUCCACUGAUGCACCAGUAUCUUUGUCUAGUUUUGUUGCUGUUGCCAUAGGAGUAGUUGCAGCAGAACUGUCUUGCAUACCAAAUUUCUUUAAAAGAUUUCUGGUAUACUUGGCUUGAUUUAUAAAAAUCCCAUCUUCAGUCUGUUCAACUUGUAAACCCAGAAAAUAACUGAGUUCCCCCAUCAUGCUCAUUUGGUACCUAGACUGCAUGAGCUUGGCAAAUCUUUGACAGAGUUUAGCAUUAGUGGAGCCAAAAAUAAUGUCAUCAACAUAGAUUUGAACUAAAAGCAGAUCAUUACCAUGAUUCAAAUAAAACAGAGUUUUAUCUAUGGUACCUCUAGUAAAUCCACUUUCAAGAAGAAAUUGAGCUAGAGUUUCAUACCAUGCCCUUGGAGCCUGCUUUAGUCCAUAAAGUGCUUUGUCCAACCUGUAGACAUAGUCUGGAUGUUUUGGAUCCACAAAACCUGGAGGUUGUUCAACAUAUACCUCUUCAUCCAGUUUCCCAUUUAGAAAAGCACUUUUGACAUCCAUCUGAAAUACUUUGAAUUUCUUGUGUGCAGCAUAGGCCAGAAAGAUUCUAAUUGCCUCCAAUCUUGCAACUGGAGCAAAUGUCUCAUCAUAAUCAAUACCUUCCUGUUGUGAAUACCCUUUUGCCACAAGUCUUGCUUUAUUCCUUGUAAUGACACCUUCACUAUCAGUUUUGUUUCUGAAAACCCAUUUUGCACCAACUAUUGAUCUGUCUUUAGGUCUUGGUACUAGGGUCCAGACUUUAUUUCUCUCAAAUUCAUUUAACUCUUCUUGCAUUGCUUGAAUCCAAUCAGGAUCUUGAAGAGCUUCCUCCACCUUUUUGGGUUCUGUUUGUGACAGAAAGCAAUGAUGUAAACAUUCAUUUGCUGUAGCUGUCCUUGUUUGCACACCUGCUUCUGGAUUGCCAAUUAUUAAAUCAGGUGUGUGAGAUUUUGUCCACUUCCUAGCAUGUGGAAGUUGACCAUUUUCAUCAUUGGAUCCUCCCCCUUGAUCCAUGCUCUCCUGAUUCUGUUGAUUAUUCUCUGUAGCUCCCCUAAGUUUGUGCUAUCAGAGUUUGAAUCAGUAUUCUCUGAUGAGUUUGAGUCAGCAUUCUCUGAGGAAUCUUGGGUAGAGUCUGAAACAUUCUGAUGCUCCCCCUCAGCAAGUGCUUCAUCAUCAUGAACUUGUAAAUUUUCAUCAGAGUUUGCUGUAUUUUGUUCACAGUCAGAGUUUGACUGUUCAUCAGAGUUUGUCGAAUCAGAGAAUAUUUCUUCAUUUUCAAAAUGCAGUUUUUCAUGAUCAUCCAUAUCUGUUAAGCCCAUAAUUUUCUUGUCAUCAAAUCACACAUGUAUGGAUUCCAUGAUCACCUUGGUUCUUAGAUUGUAGACUCUGAAGGCCUUUGUUGUCAGAGGAUAACCUACAAAAAUGCCUUCAUCAGCUUUUAAAUCAAACUUGGUAAGCUGUUCUGGAUGAGUCUUCAAUACAAAGCAUUUGCACCCAAAUAUGUGAAAGUACUUCAGAUUUGGCUUCUUUUUCUUCACCAUCUCAUAUGGGGUCUUGCCAUGCUUAUUGAUCAAGGUUGCAUUUUGAGUGAACAUGCUGUUNNNNNNNNNNNNNNNNNNNNNNNNNNNNNNNNNNNNNNNNNNNNNNNNNNNNNNNNNNNNNNNNNNNNNNNNNNNNNNNNNNNNNNNNNNNNNNNNNNNNNNNNNNNNNNNNNNNNNNNNNNNNNNNNNNNNNNNNNNNNNNNNNNNNNNNNNNNNNNNNNNNNNNNNNNNNNNNNNNNNNNNNNNNNNNNNNNNNNNNNNNNNNNNNNNNNNNNNNNNNNNNNNNNNNNNNNNNNNNNNNNNNNNNNNNNNNNNNNNNNNNNNNNNNNNNNNNNNNNNNNNNNNNNNNNNNNNNNNNNNNNNNNNNNNNNNNNNNNNNNNNNNNNNNNNNNNNNNNNNNNNNNNNNNNNNNNNNNNNNNNNNNNNNNNNNNNNNNNNNNNNNNNNNNNNNNNNNNNNNNNNNNNNNNNNNNNNNNNNNNNNNNNNNNNNNNNNNNNNNNNNNNNNNNNNNNNNNNNNNNNNNNNNNNNNNNNNNNNNNNNNNNNNNNNNNNNNNNNNNNNNNNNNNNNNNNNNNNNNNNNNNNNNNNNNNNNNNNNNNNNNNNNNNNNNNNNNNNNNNNNNNNNNNNNNNNNNNNNNNNNNNNNNNNNNNNNNNNNNNNNNNNNNNNNNNNNNNNNNNNNNNNNNNNNNNNNNNNNNNNNNNNNNNNNNNNNNNNNNNNNNNNNNNNNNNNNNNNNNNNNNNNNNNNNNNNNNNNNNNNNNNNNNNNNNNNNNNNNNNNNNNNNNNNNNNNNNNNNNNNNNNNNNNNNNNNNNNNNNNNNNNNNNNNNNNNNNNNNNNNNNNNNNNNNNNNNNNNNNNNNNNNNNNNNNNNNNNNNNNNNNNNNNNNNNNNNNNNNNNNNNNNNNNNNNNNNNNNNNNNNNNNNNNNNNNNNNNNNNNNNNNNNNNNNNNNNNNNNNNNNNNNNNNNNNNNNNNNNNNNNNNNNNNNNNNNNNNNNNNNNNNNNNNNNNNNNNNNNNNNNNNNNNNNNNNNNNNNNNNNNNNNNNNNNNNNNNNNNNNNNNNNNNNNNNNNNNNNNNNNNNNNNNNNNNNNNNNNNNNNNNNNNNNNNNNNNNNNNNNNNNNNNNNNNNNNNNNNNNNNNNNNNNNNNNNNNNNNNNNNNNNNNNNNNNNNNNNNNNNNNNNNNNNNNNNNNNNNNNNNNNNNNNNNNNNNNNNNNNNNNNNNNNNNNNNNNNNNNNNNNNNNNNNNNNNNNNNNNNNNNNNNNNNNNNNNNNNNNNNNNNNNNNNNNNNNNNNNNNNNNNNNNNNNNNNNNNNNNNNNNNNNNNNNNNNNNNNNNNNNNNNNNNNNNNNNNNNNNNNNNNNNNNNNNNNNNNNNNNNNNNNNNNNNNNNNNNNNNNNNNNNNNNNNNNNNNNNNNNNNNNNNNNNNNNNNNNNNNNNNNNNNNNNNNNNNNNNNNNNNNNNNNNNNNNNNNNNNNNNNNNNNNNNNNNNNNNNNNNNNNNNNUUUCUAGAAAAUCAUUCCUUUCUUUACACUCAGAGUUUCAGAUUUUAAUCUUUCAUUCUCAAAAGUCUGAUCUCUAAAACUGAUAUGUAAAGUUUUAAGAAACAAUCUUAACUCAGUUAUAUCUUCAGUAUCAAAGGCAAGAGUAGAGUGAGGUACCUUAGCAGGAGAUUCAGUGUUUGCCAUUAGAGCAUAAUUGACUUCUUCUUCUGAAUCAGAUGUAUCUGUCCAGUUUCCUUUCUUGGUGAUAAAGGCUUUUUCUUUUUCUUUCUUGGCUUUCUUGCAUUCAGAUGCAAAGUGACCCUUUUCACCACAGUUGAAACAGGUAUACUUGUCAGCUUUUCCAGCUUUCCCUUCCUUGCCCUCAUUCUUCUUGAAGUUCUUCUUAUCAUAAACUCUGUCAGAGUUUCUGUCUUUUCUUGAAAAACUUUUGCCUUUGUUGAACUUUUUGUAGGCCAACUUCUUGAAGCUUUUCACCAUCAAUGCUGCUAACUGCAUCAUCUCAUCAUCACUUUCUUCAGAGUCUGAGGGAACAUCAGAGUUUGAGUCAUCAGAGUUUGAUGAUUCAAUGUCAGACUUUGUGACAUGAGCUUUUCCUUUGCUCUUAGCAGCUUCCUCUUGAACUUUCAGAGCAACAGACUUUUGAUUUUCCUCCAUGACGUUUGCUCCUUUGCUCCAUUUCAAGUUCAUGAGUCUUCAGUCUUCCAUAAACAUCAUCAAGAGACAUUUCUCCAAGAUCAAGAUUGUCUCUUAUUGUGGUGACUUUCAAAUCCCAUUUUUCAGGAAGAGCCAGAAGGAAUUUGAGGUUUGAGUCUUCAAGAUCAUAUUCCUUGUUCACCAGAGAUAAGUCAUUCAAGAGUUUGACAAAUCUGUCAUACAGAUCUGUCAAGGACUCACCAGAUUUUGAGUGAAAGUNNNNNNNNNNNNNNNNNNNNNNNNNNNNNNNNNNNNNNNNNNNNNNNNNNNNNNNNNNNNNNNNNNNNNNNNNNNNNNNNNNNNNNNNNNNNNNNNNNNNNNNNNNNNNNNNNNNNNNNNNNNNNNNNNNNNNNNNNNNNNNNNNNNNNNNNNNNNNNNNNNNNNNNNNNNNNNNNNNNNNNNNNNNNNNNNNNNNNNNNNNNNNNNNNNNNNNNNNNNNNNNNNNNNNNNNNNNNNNNNNNNNNNNNNNNNNNNNNNNNNNNNNNNNNNNNNNNNNNNNNNNNNNNNNNNNNNNNNNNNNNNNNNNNNNNNNNNNNNNNNNNNNNNNNNNNNNNNNNNNNNNNNNNNNNNNNNNNNNNNNNNNNNNNNNNNNNNNNNNNNNNNNNNNNNNNNNNNNNNNNNNNNNNNNNNNNNNNNNNNNNNNNNNNNNNNNNNNNNNNNNNNNNNNNNNNNNNNNNNNNNNNNNNNNNNNNNNNNNNNNNNNNNNNNNNNNNNNNNNNNNNNNNNNNNNNNNNNNNNNNNNNNNNNNNNNNNNNNNNNNNNNNNNNNNNNNNNNNNNNNGCCUUAAGGACUGGAACUCUAAAAGAUGAAGCUUGUGAUUUUUCAGACAUGAUUGUGAUUAAGAUCUCACUGUAGUUAUCUUAACAGAGCUGGCUCUGAUACCACUUGUUAGGUCCUAUAAACUCACUAUAUAAGUUGAUAUAGUGAUCACAAUCUGUAACACAGUAUGACAAUAUAAGAGAUUGAAAGCAGUAAACUCUUAUAUUCACAAAGCUUUUUAUGGUUACAAAAACUCUCUCAGUGAUUUAUAUUGUAUCACCAAGAGCUGCUAGGGUUCUUAACAAUGUACUCGAUAACUCAACUCAUAUAGAGUAACCCUAAUCUGUGUUUAUAUAGACACAGUUACAAAAUCAAUCUCUGAUUUGAUAUCCUAUAAAUCAGCUAAUAAAUCUAUCAAUCAAAGAUUGCUCCAGUUUUCUGUUUAGUUUCCAUAGUCAGCAAAUCACUCCUCAGCUUCUAUCCUUCCUUGAAGUAUAUCCGCUUCUGAGCUCUUUCCACGUGUAAACUCUGUCGAGUCUUGACUAUGUAAACUCUGAUCAGACUUUAUCAAACUCUGUCAGACUUUACUAAACUCUGAUCAGCUUCCAGUUUAAACUCUGAUGAUUCCUGUUCUAAAACAAACCUUAAGAACAUUAGUAAUCAUCAAUUAUAUCUAACAAAUAAAAUGUAGUUAAAUUAUAUACACACACACCACAAGUAAGAGAAUUCGAUUAGUAAUAUAAAAUAUUGAUUAGCAUAAAUAUAUAACAAACCACCAAAUGUAGGGGUAUAUGGUAAUCUCAAGAUUUAGGAACCAUAUGAUGUAUGUUGUCAUUACUUUUAUUCCUAGCCCCCAGCUUAUGGUCAAAUAUGUAUGGAGAUGUGAAGUAGUAGGGAAACAAAUACAAUACCAAUAGUUCAACAUAUGGGGACGUAGGCAGAUGCUUAGUAAGAUAAGCCUAAGAACAUAAUAAAACACAACUUCAUUCAAUAAAAUUAAAAUUUUUUGAAGAUUUUAAAGUGGAUUACACAAAUAUAUACAAUAUAUACAUAUUUUCAAGAGUUAGUUAAUCACAUAUAUACAUGAAAAUCUACUUUGAUUGAUGUAUCCUUUAAACCCCAUGUGCCGGGCUUCGAUCCCGCGUCUCCUUGUUGUUGGAGUAACAAAUUCAACCAUACAACCAACUGAACUAGGGAGCACCGGUGUUUAUUAUCUUCGAAUAUAUGUAUAUACAUAUAAAUCUAAGUCUGUUAAAUAUUAUUACCAAGAUAGAUUAAGGUGCGCGCAAAAAAUUAUAAUUUCUUUUUCUAUAUAUGUGAUAGUAAUUAAUAGUAGCUAACAAUAUUGCUUAUAUGAGUUACUAAAAACUUUCUUCAAUAUUUAUGAGCUAUUUCUACACUAUCAUUAUAAUUUUAACAUAUUUACUUAAAUCCCAAUAUGCGGGUCACUAUCAAGCAUUGGCCUAAGCAUGUAUAAUAAGAAGGGUUGUUAAACAAAUUUUAAUUAAAAUAAAUGUAUUUGAGGAUUCUACGCUUCAAGCGUGUACAAGGAAUACACUUCACCCAAUACGUGAAGCGUCACCUAGUUUUAAAAUCCCAAGUACUAGAGCAAUAAUAUCAUGAAAAUGACAAUGCUCAAUGAAUAAGCAUCACUGAAUACGUAAAACGUCACCGAGUUUUAAAAUCCCAUGUACUAGAGAAACAAUAUCAUGAAAAUGACCAUGCUCAACAGAGAAGCAUCACUGACCACAUUUAGUGUCAUCUAGUACAUGGAUUCUAGUACAAUAAUUUAGGCUAACUCCUAAUGAAAAAGGCAUCCCCAGCUAAAGUGUCAAAUUCAUGUAUAAGAUAAGAGUAAAAUAUAGAGCGGACGAAUAUAAUCAAUUGAUCUAGGGAGGCUAUGGUUACAAAUUAAUACUAACAAAGAAAGAGUAAUAUAUGGUGCUCUGUUUGUUAUCCGGCCAAGCACGACAUCCCUUUAUAACAAUAUUUGCUCCGUGAUAGUUGAUCGAUCGUAUCAUGGGGGUACCGGGAUGGAAAUAUGACUAGAUUAUCUGGUGGAGGAAUAUAAAUUUAGAUUAUAGUUUUAUAUUCUUCUUUUUAAUGAACUACAGGAAAAAAGUUAUUUGGUUGUUUUGAUUGAUGGAAUAUGUUACUGUUAGUUUCGAUAUUUAAGAUCGGUACAGAGCUAGAACUCACUCAUGCCGAGUAUUAAUUAUUCUUUCUUAUCACAAAUAUUAGUUCCUAUAUACUUGCUAGGCAUUUAGUUGCUCCUUCUUGCCAUUUUUUUUUUUGAAAUCUUUUUUAAAAAAUUUAGUGUGAGAAGGAUGAGCACUUUAGCUAGUAAAAAGAAAACCAAGAGCACACAGGUCACGCCUAACAUCAUGAUGAGUAGCUUUGUGAUUCAAUGUAUAAGCUCGAGGAUCCAUAUCAGUGGCUCUGCAAGCAUCGUAAGAGGAGGAGAAACUUUUAACCUAUAUAACAAUUUUAGUUAUAAUAAAAAAACUUUAUGGUUGUGAGGCAUUCCAUCAAACAACACCCGAGCUAACAGCAAGUCAAGAUCACCCGCAUAAAACUCAAUAAGCGCAGUACCAACAAAUUAAAAGGAUCAUCACAAAACCCCAAAACUACAACUUAGGCAUGCACCAAGAACCCAAUUUUCCUACAAUCUUGCAUUGAACACGCCUUGAUCAGAGGCAUAAAAGUAUAAUUAUUCCCUAAAAACCUACAAUUACAAUUACAAUGUGAUUAGAGCAAAAAAAAUAGUGUGAAAUUACAAUUUUACCCCUGCCUCUGUUAUAGUUAACAGUCAAUUAAAUGGAAUGUGGUCAAAGGGGUGUAAAUCGAAACGCUUUUCAAACUUUAGGGUACAUACUGCCCCAAAAAUUGUUUGAGACCAAAUUGAAAAAGCGCCUAAACUUAAAGGGGGCAAAGUGUAAUCACUCUUUAAUAUACUACCCAACAACAUGUAUACUUUAACAUUACAAGUUUUGAGAAAUUAUAUAAAAUAUAAUGUGAUAUGGGUCUGAAAUUGGCCCUAAAAUUAUUGGGUUAUUUUGAGCCCGGGUGCGAUGAAAGGCCUGAGUGUUAGGCCCGGGUUCUGGGUUUAUCACCCAAAAUUCGUAGCUAGCAGAUUGAGGUUAUAAAAAGCCCGUUGGACAUCCACGUUUGGGAAACGUGGGCUGCCCAAUCUCAAGGCACGAGCCCCCAGCCCGGUCAGGGCCCAGAAUUCGAAUCCUAGUCCUACUAGGAGUCUGACUGACGAGUCCAGGACUUCGAGUACAAGAACUCUGAAUUUCAGAGAUAACUAUCUAGAGUCCUAGAUAACCUCUAGCAGCUUAAGAUAAGGAUCAGGGAUCAAUCCUAUCCUAUCUCUGACUCAAACACCUACUUCUACUAGGUCUCUAACACCAGGGAUCCUAAUUCUAAUCAGUCUCUAACCCUGAUACAUCUAUAUAAAGGGCUCUACCCCUCCAAACUAGAACUACGAUUUUGACUUGAUUCUUCACCUAGCUAAAGAUACGUAGGCAUCUCGACCCCGAGAACAGUAAAAAAACACGAAGCUCACCCCUCAGGUUUUGAUCCAUAAUAUUUGGCGCCGUCUGUGGAAAGAAGACGACAACCAUGGUAUCCACCAGAUUACGCUCAGAAAUUCAUGCUCCUUCAAUCGGAGACAACACCGCAACCCAGGAUCCACCCUUUUCUCAGGUCACCACUGGAACCUCAAAUCUCGUCACCACCACAACACCAGUCAUGUUGACCCUAGCUGGCAGUGGCACAACCACCGCUGCUCAAACCUUAUUUCCAUUGAUUUUGGGCACGGUGGCCCCUAUGACUAGUGUUGUGGCAACAACCACUGAUUUUGGGACUCAUUACUCAACAGUCGUGACGACCACAAGAGGACCAACAAAUGAGUAUGUAGUUUAUACAGACGACUCCUCUGAAGAUUCAGAGAGGGACUAUGAUAUUCCCCCACGAAGAAGGAGAGACGGAAACCAGAGCCGAGGCUCCCAACACAACACUAGGCAGAUUGCCUUUGACCAUCUCAAAUGGAAUUUUCCCAUGCUUAUUUAUCAGAGUUGCAUUCUGUGUGAUGCAAGCAGUUUGCACAGCUUCAGCCCAGAAGUAAGUUGGCAAUUUUGCACACAACACUAGGCAGAACAACCCCGAGUCCCGUCGAACUACGGACCAGGAGUAUGAAGCCAGGAUUCGAGCUUUUGAAUAGGAGAUAGUUCGGUUGAGAAGAGACAUGGCGGCACAGUAGUCCAGGCAGCAACCGCUCGAACCUCGACAAAGGACUGAGAACCCUCAAAACUCAGGUAUGAAUAGAAUUCACUUGUUGGCUGCAGGUGAUCCAGAUAACCCGCUCCCCCCAUUCACCGAGGAGAUCAUGGCAGCAAGGAUUUCUCGAAAGUUCAAAUUGCCCACUAUUAAGGCCUAUGAUGUAACGGGUGACCCCGCGAAUCAUGUACGAACCUUCAUGAAUGCAUUGCUGUUGGAAUUUGUCACGGAGGCUAUCAAGUGUCGACCCUUUUCCCAAACCAUGAGCGGGAUGGCACAACACUGGUAUAGCCGACUACCCCCUAACUCUAUAUCCUCAUUUGGAGAUUUGAGUCGAGCUUUCAUACGCUAGUUUAUUGGGAACAAAACCCACACUAAGAGUUCAGCUUAGAGCACCAAUUCGACCGUGAACCCAUCUGGGCUUUCGAGCACCAACCCUGUCCCACUAUUUUUUAUUUUUGAAGCUCCGUCAAAAAACAUUAACCAAUACUCUUUAGGUUUCUCCUCUUCUUUAGGUUCCUCUACCUUACUCUCCUGCCCCCGACUUCCUGGUUGUCAAUGGUGCAUUCAACGAGGAAGUCAGCUAGAGCUUGAGCCUUGAUUGCCACCCGUGGUUUGUAUCGAAUUUCGAAUUCCCCAAGCUCUACUGCCCAUUGAUUAAUCUCCCACUAGCCUUCGGGCUAUGCAUUAUGUUCUAAAGGGGUUGGUCUGUCAAGACUUCAAUUUUAUGAGCUUGGAAGUAAGGUCUCAGGUUUCUCGAAGCUGUGAUAAUGGCUAAGGCAAACUUCUCAAUCACAGAAUAGUUGAGCUCUACUCCAUGCAAAAUCUUACUAACAUAGUAGACGGGUUUCUGGAUUUUUCGAUCCUCACGUACCAAGACCGCACUCAGUGCUUUCUCAGAGAUAGCCAAAUAGACAUAUAACGUUUCUCCAUCUACGGGCUUUGACAAGAGUGGUGGCUCUGUCAUGUACUUCUUCAACUGCUCAAAGGCCUCCUGGAUCUCACUUGUCUAUUCAAAAUCCUUAACUUUCUUCAAAGCCUUAAAGAUGGGCAAGCACUUAUCCCCGGACUUCGAGAUGAAACGUCCUAGUGCUGCGAUUCUUCCUGUUAACGACUUCGAGAUGAAACGUCCUAGUGCUGCGAUUCUUCCUGUUAACUUUUGAACAUCCUUUAUAGACUUAGGAGGCUCCAUAUCAAGGAUAGUCUUUAUCUUAUCGGGGUUGGCCUCAAUCCCACAUUUUGAGACCAUCAGAUCUAAAAAUUUUCCAGACCCAACUCCAAAGGAACACUUGACUGGAUUCAACAUCAUCUUAUGUGUCCUCAGGACUUCAAAAGCCUCUCUCAGGUGCUCAAGGUGAUCAUCUUUGUUCAAGCUCUUCACUAGCAUAUCAUCAACAUAGACCUCGAUGAUUUUUCCAAUCAGAUGUUUAAACAUCUUAUUUUUAGGCGUUGCUACGUGGCUCCUGCAUUCUUUAAACAAAACGCCAUAACCAAAUAACAAAAGACACCAAAAUCAGUGAUGAAUGACACCUUAGGAAUUCGUCCUUAUUCAUUCGGAUCUGGUUGUAUCCACUAAAGCCAUCCAUAAAGUUUAACAUCUCAUGCCCAGCUGUAGCAUCGAUCAGAGUAUCUAUUCUUGGGAGAGGAAAACAGUCCUUAAGACAAGCAUCAAUCAGAUCUGCAAAGUCUACACACAUCCUCCACUUUCCAUUAGCUUUCUUGACCAUGACUGGGUUGUCUAGCCAUUCUGGAAAUUGAAUUUCCUCUAUAAAACCUGCUUCCAAAAGCUUAUCGACCUCCUGUUUUAUGGCUUCUUGCCUCUCAGGGGCAAAAUUUCUCUUCUUUUGUUUUACGGGUUUUCUAUCUGGGUUCACAUUUAGCGUAUGUGUCAUAAAGAGGAGAUCGAUCCCUGGCAUAUCAGCAGCGGUCCAAGCAAACACAUCCCGGUUGUUCCUCAAGAAUUUCACAAAUUCGGAUUUUAUAUCCUUGGGAAGCGACACCCCUACAUAGGUCGCCUUCUCGGGCUCAUCAGGAUAUAGGGAGAUGGGAACCAAGUCCUCAGCAGGUUUCCCUCUUCUUUCCUCUUCCUCUCGGACAUCCAAGUCCUCAAUUGGGUGAACCUGCCCCCCCCCCCAGUCCCUCCGGAUUUCAGAGCCCCCACAUAAUAACUUCUAGCCAUUUUUUGAUCUCCUAUUUCUUCUCCCACUCCGUUCUUGGUAGGGAAUUUGAUCUUCAAGUGGUAGGUGGAUGGGAUUGCUUUAAAAACAUGUAUCCCUGUCCUUCCAAGGAUAGCAUUGUAGGUUGAUGAAGCCUUAACGAUUAAAAAAAUUCAACAUACAUGUGGCCUGUCUAGGCUCGGUGCCUAUUGUCAUGGGUAGUUGGAUCAUACCUUCAAUCUUUAUCUCCACGUUAUUAAAGCCGUAUAUAGGCAUAUCUGAAGGUGUCAAUUGUGAAUCAGAAUAUCCCAUCUUUUCAUAUGCAUCAUGAAAUAAGAUGUCUACCGAGGCUCCACUGUCAAUGAGUACCCUUUUUACAGACGAGUUUCCAAUCACCGGGGUGAUUACCAAAGGAUCAUCAUGGGGAAAUUUCACUCUGUCAAGAUCUAAAUUGUAGAAUGCUUGAGCAAACUUAACUUUUACCCUCUUCAGGGGCUCUCCAACAAUGCACAUCACUUCACGAGCAUAAGCUUUUCGUGAGUUACUAGAUAGGCCUGCUGCGGUCGGUCCUCUAUAGAUUACAUUGAUCACAGGCCCUCUAGGCUGGUUUCUCUUAUCCUUAUCAUCGUUGUCUUUUCCACGAUUAUCAUUGUCACGGGGAUUCCUAUCUGCAUCCCUAGUAUACCUGGACAACUUGCCUUUCCGGAUCAAGAACUCAAUCUCAUCCUUCAACUACCGACAAUCAUCGGUCUUAUGUCCCGUAUCCUUAUGAAACCUGCAGUACAAGUCUUUGUUUCUCUUUUCGGGGUCAGUCCUAAUAGGCUUCGGCAAUCGAACACUUCCCUCUUUCUCAAUUUCCAUCAGGAUCUGAUUCCUAGGGGCAUUCAGCCUUGCAUACUCAGUGAACCUCGACCCUGCUCUCUUUUUGGUGGGGGACUUAUCACCAUCCCCUGUCUUUGAAUACUUAUUUUCCCCUGUCUUUAGGCUUUCCUCAUCCUUCCUAUACUUCCCGGCCCACUCCUGGAGCUCAUUCAUGUUGUCAGGGGACCUCUUGGCUAGUGAUCGGCGGAAAUUAUCAUCCGUGGUUCCUUGAGCGCCUCCUUAGUGAACCUAUUCAUAUAGUCUCUAAGGGAUUCGUUCUUGCCUUGGUGAAGGUUCAUCAACGAGGCUGAACUCUUAGCGUGGGUCUUACUCCCAAUAAACUGGCCUAUGAAAGCUCGACUCAAAUCUCCAAACGAGGAUAUAGAGUUAGGGGGUAGUCGACUAGACCAGUGCUGUGCCAUCCCACUCAAGGUUUGGGGAAAAGCUCGACACUUGAUGGCCUCCGUGACUGGUUGCAACAGCAAUGCAUUCAUGAAGGUUCGUACAUGAUUCAUGGGGUCACCCGUUCCAUCAUACGCCUUAAUAGUGGGCAAUUUGAACUUCUGAGAAAUCCUUGCUGCUAUGAUCUCCUCGGUGAAUGGGGGGAUCGGAUUAUAUGGAUCAUCUGCAGCCAACAAGUGAAUUCUAUUCAUACCUAAGUUCUAAGGGUUCUCAAUCCUUUGUCGAGGUUCGGGCGGUGGCCUGGUGUGCCGCCAUGUCACUUUUCAACUGAACUAUCUCCUGUUCAAAAGCUCGAAUCCUGGCUUCGUACUCCUGGUCCGUGGGUCGACGGGACUCAGGGUUAUUAUGCCUAGUGUACUGCUGGCAGCCCCGGCUCUGGUAUCCACCGCUCCAUCUUCGUGGGGGAAUAUCAUAGUCCCUCUCUGAAUCUUCAGAGGAGUCGUCCGUAUAAACUACAUACUCAUCUGUUGGUCCUCUUGUGGUCGUCACGACUGUUGAGUAAUGAGUCCCAAAAUCAGUGGUUGUGGCCACAACACUAGUCCUAGGGGGCACCGUGCCAAACAUCAUUGGAAUCGAGGUUUGAGCAGUGGUGGUUGUGCCACUUCUAGCAAGGGUCAACGUGAUUGGUGGUGUGGUGGUGACGGGAUUCAAGGUUCCAGCGGUGACCUGAGAUAAGGGUGGAUCCUGGGUUGCGGUGUUGUCUCCGGUUGAAGGAGCAUGAAUUUCUGAGCGUAAUCUGGUGGAUACCAUGGUUGUUGUCUUCUUCCUACGGACGGCGCCAAAUGUUAUGGAUCAAAAAUCAAGGGGUGAGCUUCGUGCUUUUUGACUGAUUGUUGUCUCCGGUUGAAGGAGCAUGAAUUUCUGAGCGUAAUCUGGUGGAUACCAUGGUUGUUGUCUUCUUCCUACGGACGGCGCCAAAUGUUAUGGAUCAAAAAUCGAGGGGUGAGCUUCGUGCUUUUUGACUGAUCUCGUGAGUCGGAACUCAGACGGGUCCUCACGAGGUGCCUACGUAUCUUCAGCUGGGUGAAGAAUCAAGUCAAAAAACAUAGUUCUAGUUUGGAGGGGUAGAGCCCUUUAUAUAGAUGUCUCAGGGUUAGAAACUGAUUAGAAGUAGGAUCCCUGGUGUUAGAGUCCUAGUAGAAGUACGUGUUUGAGUCAGAGAUAGGAUAAGACUGAUCCCUGAUCCUUAUCUUGAGCUGCUGGAGGUUAUCUAGGACUCUAGAUAGUUAUCUCCGAAAUUCAGAGUUCUUGUAGGACUUUUGGAGUCCUUGACUCAUCAUUCAGAUUCCUAGUGGGACUAGGAUUCGAGUUUUGGGCCCUGGCCAAGCUGGGGACUCGUACCUUGGGUGAUAAACCUAGAACCCGGGCCUUAUACUCAGGCCUUUCAUCAAACCCGGGCUCAAAAUAACCAAAUAAUUUUUAGGGCCAAUUUCAGACCCAUAUCAUAUAGUAUGCAUAAAAUAUGUAUCGCGUAACACGUAAUAUAUCUUGUUCUUGUUAAUAUGAUUUGAUAAUUUAAAUAAGAUUAAAUAAGUAUAUUAUAGAAUUAUAAGGAUUCGCAUAAAUUUAGUUAUAUAUAUAUUAUAUAUAUAUUGGCAAAUGAUCAAAUACAAACCAACUAUUAAAUACAAACUAAAAACCAGUUUUCCUACCACUAUUUAUAAGCACAGGUAUCACUAAUUUAUAUUGCACUAAUCACUGUUUUCUAGAGGUAUAUUAACAGCAACUUUUAUUAUUUAAAAUUGAGAAAAUCUACUUACCUAAACUAUUGAUGAUUGAUUAUGGAUGAUCAAUUUCAAUCUUCAGAAAGAUUCUUGACGGUAAAAAGUCGUAGGAGAAGGUGUAUGAUUGUGGUAAUUAGUCACUAGUUUUGGUAAGUUACGACGACAAGUGUUUGUGACUAUUGGUGAUGGUAGGCGAUGGUGGAAAGUCAUUAUAAAAACGGAUGACAAUGGUGGUAAAAAUUCUAUUAUUAUAGUUCGGGUGAAGAUGAUGCUCUUAUACGUUGCAUUUAUAUGUAUGCAUAUAUUUGUAUUUGACAGAUAUGCUAUAUAGAAAAUAGUGAUGUGUGAUGUACAAAACAGUGAUAAUUGCAUUUAAUAAUAGUGAUUAAAAAUUGGGUUUGAUUAUACAAAUAUAUACAAUAUAUACAUAUUUCAAAGAGUUAACUAGUCACAUAUAUACAUGGAAAUCUACUUCACUUAAUAUGUAUCGGAACCCGUACCGGGCUUCGAUCCCGCGUCUCCUCGUUGUUGGAGUAUAAAUACAACCAUACAACCAGCUGAACUAGGGAGCACCGGUGUUUAUUAUCUUUAAAAUAUUCAUAUAAAUCAUAUCUAUCAAAUAUUAUUAUCAAUAUUAAGGUAUCCGUAAGAAAUCAUAAUUUCUAGUUCUAUAUGGGUGAUAGACAUUAAUAGUAGCUAAUAAUAGUGCUUGUAUGAGUUAUUAAAAAACUUCCUUCUAUAUGAAGUAUUGGCCAAGCAUGUAUAAUAAGAAGCUUUGUUAUUUUUUCUUUUAACCGGAAGAAAUGUAUUUGAGAAUUGUAAGGUGCAAACAUAUACAAGGAAGAUACACUUCACCCAAUAGGUGAAACGUCAUUCAGUUUUAAAAUCCUAAGUACUAGAGCAACAAUAUCAUCAAAAUGACCAUGCUCAAUGAGAAGCAUCACCCACUACAUUAAGUAUGAUCUAGUACAUGAAUUAUAGUAUAAUAAUUUAGACCAACUCCUAAUUAAAAUGACAACCCUAAUUAAAGUGUCCUAGCCAAAUUCAUGAAUAAGAUAAGACUAAAAGAUAUGAAAGCCUCGAGGAAUUUUAUGAUGUAUAGGAAGGACCUAAAGGUAUGCAAAUGAUUAAUAAAUACUGUCAAGGGUGUUUCGGUGUUGACUUAUCCCGCCCAAUAAUAAAUAAAAUAGGCUAGUCUUCUUUAACUUGCUUAAAAGACUUGAUUGAUGUUGUUUCUUCCUUUGUAAAGUAUGUGGAUAAUUUACCGUUCAAAGCGUUCCAUCAAAUUUUUUUUAUUACAGUUAGCUUCUUUUGUUCAAAGAGCCACAUUAUUUGACGUUAAAUGACAUAAUGGUCGUGUCCCUAAAUAUAUUUUAAAUUUUAUGAAUAUCCACUGACUCAUUUAUUGGGGAGAACUUAUUGAAUAUAAGUCUAGUUUCAAAAUUCUCAAUUUGUUUUUCGAUCAGUGUUAUAAUGAUUCAGAUGACAAUAUAAUUGAAAAUGGUCAAUUUGGGAAGGUCUAUCCAUGGUAGUGUGUAAAGAAAUAUCCGUAGUAGGAUUGUAAUAUAUUCAGAUAUUGUUAAUAUCAAACGUUGUGAUAAAGAGUGUGAAUGGGAUGGUCUUUCAAUGUGUGAACGGGAAACCCAUUGGUGAGUAUAAGUUUGUAUUAGUAUUAUUAUUAUUACUUGUUGCUGGUGUAAUAAGUAGUGGUUGGAUGGCGUGGGGACCUGAAUAUGUGAGAUACGAGUCUCAAGGGUGCCUCAGUAUUAGUUAUUUCCGAAAAAGGAUUCAUUUUAUCUUCAAAGUCUUUGGCAUCUACCACAUAAUAUAUCAUGUCUGAGUUAAUAUGAUUUGAUAAUUCCUACAAGAUUAAAUGUUAUAUAUAUAUAUAUAUAUAUCAUAAAUUAAAGAAUUCAAAUGACAAAUAUAGGGUUAUAUAAAUCUCAAAGAUUGAGGAGGAUAUGAUGUAUGCAGUCCUCGCCAUCAUUCGUAGAUCCUUACAUUUGCGUAAACAUGUAUUGGUAUGUGAAGUAGUACUCUACACAUAAAAAAAAUUAAAUACUAAUAGUUCAACAAAUGGGAAGGUUCGCAUAUGAUUAGUAGGAGAAGCUUGAAAACCUGAUAAAACACAACUUCUUUCAAUAAAAGUCAAGAAACGUGACCCAACAAUAAAAAUAAUUCAUAAAUUGAAAAUUAAGUCAAGAUGAAAAAUGGCACAUGAUUGUCUCUUACGAUGUUAAAAAAUGCCAUCAAUCAUGACCACAUAUAAAUAGUACAAAAAAGUCAUCAUGAAGGCCACAAUUAGCAUUGUCUCAAAAAGAUCGAUUAUUACAAGUAAAUUUCAAAUUUAAUAAUAUUUAAAAUUUAAAGAAUUAGUCGCAAUUUAAACUGAUAUUACAAAAUACAUAUUUAUUAUAAGUAAGACUAAUUAGGGAGAAACUAAAUAUAGUCAUUAAACAUAGCACAAAAUAAUAACACUAAAACUAAAACUAAUGCCUUUAAAUAGUCAAUCACAUUAAAUUAUCAUUUCAAUUUCUAUCAACAGACAAAAGAAACUGUUGGUCCUAGGAUGUAUUGCAUAAGGAGGAGGUUGAAUAUGCAAUACUGAUAUUGUCAAAUUUUAAUUCAACAACAAAUAUAAGAUUUAAAUUUAUGAGUAGAUUACGUUGUAAGCUUGAAGAACACAGUAGUUUAACUUCACAAAAUAAAUGUAUUAUUUAUUUCGUUGUUUUGCUACAACCUCAAGAAAGGUUUUUUGAGCUUCAGUUCUCUCAAGAAUUAUAAUGAUGUUUGCACUCCUAUGCUGUGUUGUGGUCUUUCUUGUGUCUUAGAACUAUUAAUGUUUUCCUAUAUGACUAUCGGAGUUUACACAUCACAGUCAUCACGGGUUCUGCAAGUCUACAAGUAGAUUAUUCUUUUGCCGCUACUUAUAGAUUGCAGCCCAUGUGACUUUCCUAAAAUGCUAAUCAAACAGAUAUUAAAUUUUAUGAAAAUCAACCUAGGAUACAAUCUUUUUUGAUCUUUACAAAUCCCAGUGGAUAGUGACUUGACACCUUUCAUGUGCAUAUCCACGACUUUGUGUAUUCUUGAGCUUCAAUUAUAGACUUUGCAGGUGUGCUACUAAAACAGCUUUAUGCAACAUCCCUGAGCUUGGAACGUCUUUAUCAGCCGCAACGUUGAUUUGAUGAAGAAUUAAAUCCAACCCCAUAUCUCCGAUGACAGUGACAUAGAGACACCAAUACUUGUUGUGAAAUAAUGAUUAGGAUGACAAUGACUUCCCGUGAAAGCUUACGUCAGGAUAUCCAAGUGCUGUAUUGCGUGCUCUGCGGAGUUUCAACCAAUGUUAUUGGUAGAUACAUAUUAUCUGUCUGUGACCUGCAACUGUCUGUCUUUUGUAGUACUGUUGUCAACCGUUUGACAAUAGCAUUCCGUUAUUCUUAUUGUCAUUCCAAUGUGCGUCUAGGGGCAUGAAGAAUUUAAUGAACUUUUUCCAACAACAUUCUAAUUACAUGACAGUUAUGAAAACACUACAGAGACAUACUCUUGCCGUGACAGUAUCUUCUACUUAUAAAAAUCAAAGUAAAUAUAAAUGUUAAGUUGACUUCUAUCUAUAUCACCCAUAAAUUCUAACAAAAACAAAUAUAACAGUGAAUAAAUUGAGAAGUAGAUGAUUUAUUUUUUUCAUAUUUCAAAUCGAUAUCUUCAAUCAUGAAUUUCAAGAGAGGAGAUGGACUAUAAAUAAAAAAACAAAUGAAGAUAUGAAUCAUAUAGAUUAAAACGUAUAAAAUAGAUCUAAACAAUAAAUCUGAACACAUAAAUAUAUACAUAAUUCAAAUUUCAGUCAUCACAAUAUAACAUAACACUACAUCAAUAUCAAAUUCCUGUAUACUCAAAACUAAAUCACAAAUAAUCAAUGUAUUUACAAUAUAUAUUGAAAGAUCUACUGAUGCACGUAUAAUAAAAAAUAAAUAACAAAUAGUUGAUGUAUUUACAGAACAUACUGAAUGACCAGAUGUAAGUAAAAAUAAAAUGAAAGAUAAAAAAUAAUAAAAAUAGAUAUGAUAUAGAAUAUUGCAACAAUAUAUACACAAGAUACGAAGAUUAUGGUAAAUAUAUGAAUAUUUUGAGUUCCGCAUCUCUCAUGUCAUUGUACGUCCAUCCAUCUUUUCCCUUAUAUUAUUGUUAUUAUUAUAACUAGUGUUGCGAAUAAGCUAGAUAUAAUAAUACCAUUAUUCAUAUGACAACUUGCUCAAAGAAAAUACUAAAAUGACAUGUGUAGUAGAGUAAUGAUGGUGAUGAAACUAAUUAUUAGCAAAUAUAUAGUAAAAGAAAACAUAAUUAUUGAAUACUUCUAUUAGUGGACUAAUAUUAAAACAUGUUUACUUGACUGAUUAAGGACACAUACAGUAACGACACAUACCGGUAAUGCUUUAGCCAUAGUUAUUAAUUAUCCUAUUCUUAAUUAUAUGACUUUGGAUUUAAUCGGUCUUAAGAAAUUGAAACUCAUAUCAAAUUCAUUAAAAUCAUGUUGAUAUCUCCUUAACUCAAAUGUAUAGUAUAAAUAAUAAGUUGAGCAACUGUAGUAAAAUCAGUUUGGAAUUUACAACAUUACUCCCUCCGUCUUUAAUACUUUUCCUGUUUGCAUUUAUCACAUUUGUCAACACACACUUUUAAUGGUUAAUAUCUUUAAUUUCAUAUUAAUAUUAAAUAUAAAAAAUUUCACGGUAUUAAAGUACUCAUAAAUACGAAUACAACAAGAUCACUCACGAUUAUAUCUAGGCUUAUAGAUUAGAUGUAAAUUAGUAAUUUGUCUCAUGUUAUAAAUAGAAUGAUCACAAUCUUUUUUGUCUUGUCAUCUCUAUAAAACAACAUGCAAAUAUUUUCACAAGCAUCAAUUUUGUUGUAUGAUAAUUUCAAUUCAUUUAAAAUUUUCUUCACCUCAUAGUAAGUUGAUGGUGGUGUGUGUUUUGGUGGGAAAAGAUCGCCAAUAUAUAAUCUCAAAUAACAAAUUAAAUGAUUUCUCACUACAAUGGUAUUCAUUUUUAAAGUGCAACAACCUUGUGGUGAAAGAUAGUUUUGUGUAGUUGGUGCUUCCCGGAUAUAUUGGUGUUUCACAUCUACUAACUUCUUUGUAAAAUGAGGAAGCAUUUGCAUUAGGUGGUUCUUCUACUCUAUUAGUACAAGCAUGGGUUUUACUAGUACUAAAAGGUUGAGCUCCAACAUCUCUUAGCAUCGCUUCCAUGUCUACCAGUUUUUCAACUUCUCCUUGAACAUGAUUUUUUUUCCAUUGUAAUGACUCCCCAUGAGAUGUCCAAAUUAUAUAACCCAUACAAAUUACAUUAGCUAUCAAAUGAUAUUUAACACUUUCAAUAGUCUCCCAUAUAACAUUUUUACAAUUAACAUAUGGACACUUCAUCAAACCUUCAACUACACCUUUAUUCUCAAUUGCAUAUUUUAUAAAUUGCUCAACAUCCAAAUUAUAUUCCGGAGCAAGUGUUAUUCGGUUAUCUUCUAAUCGACGAUGCAUCUAACUAUACGAUCAUUGGUCGACAUUUACAUAUAUAUACAAGCAUACACAAGCAACUCAAAACAAUAUACACACAUAUACACACACACAAACAUUUUAUACAUACAAGUUAACCUUCAACUUCAAUUUCAACUAAAAAUUAGAAAAAUAUACAUCUAAGUUUACCUUCAACUUCAAUUUCAACUUCACCUUCAAUUUUAAAAUUACACAUUUUAUACCUUAUAAAUUAGAAAAUAUAUUAAAAAAUGGAUUAGUUACCUUAAAAAUGUUUUCUCUUCCACAAAUGUUGGUGAGAGACCAAAUAUAUACUCCUUUUGUCCCAUUUUAACUCAUAUUUGACUUUUUAACACUUAUAUUGAGGUGUAAAAAAAUAAUAUCUACACUCAAUAAAGAUAUUCAAUUUUAUAUCAUAUAAAAGUUUAGAUUCUAAACUUUUAUUUGAUAUAAAUUUUAUAAAAACAAUUAUGUUUAGAUGUGAUUUUUUUAACACCUUAAAAUAAGUGUAAAAAAGUCAAAAGUAGUUAAAAUGAGACGGUGAGAGUAUAUAUAUAUAUAUAUAUAUAUAUNCCGAGUCGACCCCAAGGUCGGGCGUUGGGCUGGGCGCCGGGGUCGAGUGUGGGAAUUCGUAUGUUGGCUGUAUGGAUCCUAAAGAAGCUAAGCUGAUCAGUCUUGGGCUUAAGUGGGUAAGGAUGACUACAAUUAGUCUGAGGGCGCAGCAAGGGCGCCGAGUGGACGCAGGCGGACACUGGGUUAAAGGGCAGGCCGCACAAUACUUGGCUCGACUCCAAUCCCACUUAAGCCCAAGGCUGAUCAUCUUAGUUUCUUUAGGAUCCAUACAGCCAACAUACGAAUUCCCACACUCGACCCCGGCGCCCAGCCCAACGCCCGACCUUGGGCUCGACUCGGGGUGCCUUAGCGCCCACCCCUACUCGAGGUUCACACCGGGUCAAAGCCUAUUACAUGGGAGUGUAUGUAUAUAUAUAUAUAUAUAUAUAUAUAUAUAUAUAUAUAGAGAGAGAGAGAGAGAGAGAGAGAGAGAGUCUUGCUCCAAUACAAACCAAAUUAGCCUAAAAACUAAAAAUCAGUUUCUGGUCAGUUUUUUAUCACUAUUCUUAACUACAAAAAUCACUAAUUUGUACAUAACAUAUCACUAAUUUAUAUAUAGCAUAUCUCGCGAAUAUAAAUAUAUAUAUACACAUAUAUGCAACGUAUAUGACCAUCAUCUUCACCUGAACCGUAAUAAUGGACCUCUUACCAUUAUUACCAGACAUUUCUAUGACUUGCCACCAUUGUCUACCAUCACCAAUAGUCACAUACAUUUUUCAUUAUAACUUACCAAAACUAACGACUGCUUACCACAUACCAUCAUACAACUUCUCAUGCAGCUUCCUACCGCCAAGAACCUUCCUACGACUGAAAUUGAUCAUCUAUAAUCGAUUAUGAAUAGUUUAGGUAAGUAGAUUAUCUCAAUUUUGAUAAUGAAAAUCGCUGCUAUAUACUGUACAAAAACAGUGAUUAGUGCAGUAUAAAAUAGUGAUACCCGUAGUUAUAAAUAGUGGUAGGGAAACUGGUUUUUAGUUUGUAUUUAAGAGUUGGUUUGUAUUUGAUCACUUGUCUAUAGGGUCCUACUCCAAUACAAACUAAUAAAAUAUAAACUAAAUACAAACCAAUUCGAUUAAGUUGAAUAACAAGGAUUUUGGGACUGGGGAUGGACACCAAGAUGGGCAUAGACGGGGUCUAACUGAGGCCUAGUAGGAUCGGGAUGGGGCCUAGUAGUACCAUGGUGGGACCAAGUUUGGCUCUUAAGGCUGUUUGGAGCCUGUCCAGGGCCUGUGUGGAGCCGUGGCGAGGCUCCAGGCCCGAGAUGGAUUGAGUGUCGGCCCGAGGUGGGUAAUGACAUGUAGGGGGUGGGUGAUGACAUGUAGGGGGUGGGUGAUGUAUUUUAGGUAUAGUUGUCUUGAUUUGUAUUUUAGUGCUUUAUAUUUGAACAAUUGUUUGUAUAUAUAAUUAUGCUACAUAAGACUUGGUGACCGACUAUAACAAUUUAAAAAGUAGCAAAGUCAUUUCGCAACGUAUUUCCAAUUGACGUCAGACGGAAAUCAAGUUACGGCUCCACCUCAUCCUCACUCAGCCAAUCACCAGUCGACAACAAGCUAAAAGCUGGCGAAUUAUUUUAAACGCAAUCGAGGCAGUAGGAAAUGACCACAGACAGUCGGAAUUGUGUGUAGCGGAUUUAGUGACGCAGCAUCCAUGUCAUCUAAAGAGCGUUUGUAAACGGGACCCACACUCACUUAUACCGACCGGUAUAGGUCGGUCGGUUGCAUCGGUCGUAAAUGAUCGACUCUUUUUUCUGACCGACCUUGUUUGGUCGGUAAGUUGGUCGGAAAUGACAGCUUUUUGACCACAAUGGUAGUUCGGUUUUUACGGUCGGAAAUGAACACUUUGCAGUAUUGUAGAUUACACUUUACCCAAAUUUAUUAGUUAUCCUAUUCUUAACUAUAUGGGAUUGGAUUAAGUCGGUCUUAAAAAUUGAAACUCAUAUCUAAUUCAUUAAAAUCAUGGGAAAAUAUUCUUAACUCAAAUGUAUAUAAUAAAUAAUCACUUAACUCAAAUGUAUAUAAUAAAUAAUCACCUGAUCAACUGCAAUAAAAUCAAUUUGCUCAUUCAUAUAUAGGUAUAAUUACAAGUUCUAUCCAAAACGAAUCUACACAAACAGAAUGAUAGGCCAUUAAUAUACUAUAAUUAAUCGAAGCUGCUUUAAACGUAACUUAUUUAUAUCGUAAAAGUACACCAUACGUAUCACAGAUGCCACGGUAUUACAACGAUACAUGAAUAUCAAAUCAAUUAUCUUCGCGUAUUGCAUACGAGUUUCUUCCCAGAAAGGCGCUUUAAAUUAUGCCCAAACAUUCUUUUUUCGUAAUAUGCAUACAAUUUGAAAAGAUGCAGUCCAAAACAGUAUUUUAAAGGGAGCAUAUGCCCGCAUUAUAUGUCUAAGCAACAGCUAGCAAACAGAUGACCCAGAUCAAAAUUAUCGGGGAUUGAAAUUCAAAAUAGUAGUCCUCCCGUCUUUUAAUACUUUUAAUACUAGGGACAAUAUUAGAGAUCAAAUUUAUUGGGGGUUGAAAUUCAAAAUCUCACUUUCUGCUUUUUUUUGAUAUUUUUCCUGUUUGUCAUUAUCAUGUUGGCUAACAUACACUUUUGAUCGUUAGUAUUUUUAAUUUCAUAUUAAUAUUACAAUAUAAAUAAUUUCACUGUAUUAAAAUGUUGAAUAUCAAUCCAACAAGAUCGCUCACGAUUAUAUCUAUUCUUCUAAAUUAUACGUAAAUUAGUAAUUUAUCUCAUGUAUGAACAGCCCGACCUGACAUAUGAAACAAGAAAAGUAACUCAGAGAUGAAGGAAGUACUGAUUAUUCUCGAUCAGCCACAUUUUAUAUGAUAUAGUGAUGUUUAAAAAUAAUUAAUAUCACCGAUUUUUCUGAAUCAACCCGGUCUUCGUCACGUGUUAGCCUAUUUCCGUCACUGAUCGUUAAUAUAAUAACACUAAAAAGUAGAGCGAAAUAAAAAUGCAAGAAUUUUGGAUGAACGUGACGCCAUCUUCACCAGUACUACGAGUCUGCAAUAAGCAACACGACACGAUCGCAUGCACUAUCUCCAUUAGUGAAUAAGAAUUCGACACACACGUAAAGCUGUGAGGAACCAAGUCCCUUUUUUCCUCUUUAUAUCUUUUUCUUUGACACCAAUAAAGAUGGAUACUAUAUUUCUGUCAUGCAUGAAUGAAGAAGAAUCGGAAGAAGAGACGUAGAGAAACAGAGUAAGUAUUUUUUAUAUUGCAACAAACUAGAUCUAAAUAGUGGCCAAUAGUUGCACAAGAGGAUCGAACACCCAAGUGGACGAUAAUAAUCUCAACCUUAAUCUUUCUAUUAAUAUUUUGGUAUCGUUCUUACUGUAAUCUAUUCAGUUUUAUUUCAUGGUAUCACCUGUUUUUUUCGUUACAACUCACCGGUGAAUAUUCCUGCUUCGCUCUUUACACCGUGAUCACCUCAGAGCAAAGAAUUCAGAAAAUGUUAGUACUUAUUUCAAGAGUUGAUAAUAUUUUUGACUUUUAAGAUUUUUAAAUUCAAACCAUGAAACCGCAAGAAAAGCAGAUAAAGUUGACAUUAAAAAUUGUUUCAAAUUUGAUACCAUCUAUGAUGUAAAUAUUUCCACUUUCAAUUGGCGCCAAAAAUUUUAAUGUUUACAAAACAAAACCAAUAAAUUUUAACAUGUUGCUGCAAAAGAUUAUGUUGAAUUUAGGGCAGUUUGAGAGUUGUGGAUACUGUGAGAAUAAGUGCUUUUGCAAUGAGAUAGUUAUUUUUAUUUUGACAUUUGUAUAUUUUGAGUUGUAAUAUAGGAAAAUACGAGUUUUGUGAAUUGACAGUGAAAUACGGCACUUCGAAAAUCAAUUUUAUAAAACAACUUAAUUCACCUAUAUUUUGAGUUGUAAUAUAGGAAAACACGAGUUUUAUGAAGUUGAUAGUGAAAUACGACAAUUCAAAGGUUUUAAAAAACACGAAGAAACGAAUUUUUUAUAAAAUAUAUUCUGAGCAAAAAAUUAUUAUAGAGAGAAACUACGUACUUUUAAUUCAACAACUUAAUUCACCUAUUUUCAACAGGAAAGAUAAUUACCAAAAUUUCAAAAAAAGAAAGAUAUUAUUGUCUCCAACUGUGAUUGAGAUCUUAGAUGUCAAAUUUAUAACAUAAUAUUUUAUGUUUUUAACUAAAAGACUUGCAACAAAUGAAAUUUAUUUAUUUAUUUAUUUCUUUGCCAUAGCAACAAAUGAAAUUAAAACCCCAAAAUUUAAAGGGUUGGCUGCAAUUAUAUAUCCUCCCAUUAUAGUUACGGUUAUAUACAUUAUCAACCAAUUAGUGACGAAUAUUAGUGGACAAUUAAUUAAACAAACACUUGCGUCUAACAUUCACGUUCGAAGAAUUUCUAACCUAGAACUGUUUAAUUAAUAAAGACGAGCCUGGCCCGAACACAUCUCCUCCACACAAGUGUAUAGAAUAUGACUAAUGGGUGAUAUAAAGUCAAAUAAUUAUAUACAUACUAUUACAUGUAUAUUUUAUAUACGUGUUAAUCAAUAAAGUUGAAAUGACCUUACCAAAUGACACUAAUAUAUCACUGAAAUAUAAUCUUGACAUAAAGUUGAUAGUGAGAGGGCUCCAUUGGGGUCUAUAUUAUGAGUCGCACAAUCUGCUUCUCGUGCUCCCUUCACUAUAAGUUCUCAAUAUUUACUUGUAUUUGCAUGUGAACCAUCUUAAUUCUAUUAACCUAGCUAGCUAGCUCUUUCUCUUCACUUUCGAGUCAUUCGAAUUCUGCCAUCAAAAUGAUGCCACUUGAUCAGCAUGAUCAAGCGACUACUCCUCGCAGUCCGAUUAGCAUUCAAGUGAAUAACAAGCCGGAUAACAUCUCGGUUUAUGCGGAGCCGUUUGAUUCGGCAGGUAACACUAGGCCGUGCGGGGAAGAACAAGUUUCGAAUCAACAGACUGCAUCGCCAGUGGGGGUUUCGGUGCUUCGGACGUCGAGAUGCUCGGUUACACUAAAGGUAUGCUAAUUGCUAAGAUACUGUGUAGGCCCCUAUGUUAGGAUAUAAUAGUCGUUUGUUAUAUUUCUAUUUACAAAAAGAAAUUUUUAAAAUAAUAUUGACAAAUAUGUGGUCGAAACUCUUAAAAAUAUGUGAAAAACAGUCGAGAGAUUAAUAUAUCCUUAGAGGGAGUAUUUGCGUGCUCGUGUAUCGAAAUAUUGUACCGAAAGGUAAUAAUUUUGUGAUGAUUUAAUUGUUGGUGCAGUUUGAAGAUGUCGGGUACAGUAUCAAGCUGCCGGGAGACAGUGGAGGGAAGUACUUAGCUUCGUGUAAACCUAAUAAACAUGCAAUCAAAACUUUACUUAAUGGAGUGAGUGGAAUUGUUAAGCCCGGAGAAUUGCUAGCAAUGCUUGGUCCAUCCGGGAGUGGAAAGACCACAUUACUAACAGCUCUAGCCGGAAGACUGCCUGGUAAGAUCUCGGGCAAGAUAACGUACAAUGGAGUACCCUUCUCGAGCUCCAUUCGUCACAAAACAGGCUUUGUCACUCAAGAUGAUAUCUUAUAUCCGCACUUAACUGUGUUAGAAACCCUAACUUAUGCUGCUUUGUUAAGGCUGCCGAAAACUCUGACAAAAGAAGAGAAAAUUGAACAAGCCGAGUUGGUCAUAAUGGAGCUUGGAUUAACAAGAUGCAGGAAUAGCCUUGUUGGCGGGCCGCUGAUCCGGGGAGUUUCUGGCGGGGAGAGGAAAAGGGUUAGUAUAGGGCAAGAGAUGCUCGUGAACCCUGGAUUGUUGUUGUUAGAUGAGCCUACUUCGGGACUGGAUUCGACCACUGCUCAACGGAUUGUGAUGACAUUGAGAGGGUUGGCACGAGGAGGGAGAACUGUGAUUACCACAAUUCAUCAACCUUCAAGUCGGUUGUUUAGGAUGUUUGAUAAGGUACUGGUGUUAUCCGAGGGUUCUCCUAUUUAUAGUGGUAAUGCUGAACAAGUGAUGGAGUAUUUCAGCUCCAUCGGUUAUGCUCCUGGCUUUAAUUAUGUGAAUCCUGCUGAUUUUCUGCUCGAUCUUGCCAACGGUAUGAAAACUUUUUCAAGUUAACUUCAUAAAAUGAUAUACAUGAAUUAUGUAAUAUGAUAUACCUUAAUUAAGUUGUGAUUAAGCUAAAAACUGAUAGAAUUAUUGUUCCGUACUUAUGAAAAUGUUAUGGAAAUACGUAGAAUAAUUAUUCUGCACUUUCUUAAGAGUCCCAGGACAACUAUUUAUAUUGUUCUCGUGCUAAAGCUGCGGCCUUAAAUAGAAUACGAACAAACACAUCAAAUUUUUUAAAGUAAGGUGAAUCAUAUAUAAUGGACGGCAUCUCAGCUACAAUAGGCGUACAUGUAGCCAUAUCCAUAAAACAGCUAAGUAAAGUAACAGGGAAACACAGUGAUCCUUGUGAUUUUUGAGAAGGCGAAAGCUCAACUGUACAUAGUGGUCCAGACACUCGUAGGACCCUAUUUUAAAGGAAAGAUGUAUGUGAUCAUUUUCUUCUUUUAAUAUGAGAUAUUUGAGGCAGAUUAUAUGAUUAUGCUUCAAACUUUAUGCUUUAAAUGGGUGACUGCAGUCUAGUUUCGAAUUUAAGUGACCCUGCUUUUCUACUUUCACUCUUAUUUCUUCCUCUUUCUGUCUGCCAUAUAUAUAAUUAAUAUUAUUAUCUCUUUGUAUUAGUUAUUAUCGAAUUUCCUCUAAGGAAAUAAGGAAUCAUUUAAACAGUGCCAUGAAAUAUGAGCUUAUAUGAUAAUGUCUUUAAUUUCAACAGUGUUAAAUUAAGUUUUACAGUGCUUCAUUGGAUGGGAUAGAAUGAAUUCUAUGUUAUUAGCUAAUUAAGGUGUAUGUAUGGGGAAAAAAUUUCAGGUGUGGCUCCUGAUCUAAGACAGGAUGAGUCACCAGAGUUUCAUGGCAUAAAAGAUCAACAUGAUGACCAGAAUUUAAUUAAAAAAUCAUUAGUUGGAUCUUACAAGAAGAGCAUCUAUCCUUGCUUGAAGGAAGAGAUUGCUAGGACUUGUCAAGACCCUCCUGGAGGACCAUUAGCCGCAAGAAGUAAGCACGUUCACGAACUCUAUAUAUUAGGCAUAUAUCUAAAUCAUUAACUGAACAAUUAGUAUCAAUUCCAUUGGUAUGUGUAGUCAUAUAGUUCUAACUUCUAUCUGUCCCUGCAGGAUCAGAAAAUCAAUGGACAACCAGUUGGUGGUUGCAAUUUAAGGUGUUGCUCGUAAGAGGUCUACGCGAAAGAAAACAUGAAUCUUAUUCAGGUCUUCGCAUUUUCCAAGUCAUGUCUGUUUCCAUUCUUUCGGGCCUUUUAUGGUGGCAUUCUGAUACUUCCCACAUUCAAGAUCAGGUAACUCCAUUGUUGCAACUCCUACAGGAUAUAUUAUUAUGGUCUUCUGUCGUGACAAUAUUAUUGUUUCAUAAUUUGACAGGUGGGACUUCUCUUCUUUUUCUCAAUUUUUUGGGGAUUCUUCCCUUUAUUCAAUGCCAUAUUUGCCUUCCCUCAAGAAAGACCAAUGCUAACAAGAGAAAGAUCUUCAUCAAUGUACCGUCUCUCCUCCUAUUACUUUGCACGAAUAGCUGGAGAUUUACCAAUGGAACUGAUCCUCCCAACCAUCUUUGUAACGAUCACAUAUUGGAUGGGAGGCCUCAAGCCAUCAUUUCUCACAUUUUCACUAACACUGUCCAUUAUACUCUUCAAUGUGUUAGUUUCCCAGGGAUUAGGCCUCGCCCUCGGAGCCAUUCUGAUGGACCUUAAAAAAGCCACUGCCUUAUCUUCAGUGAUCAUGCUUGUGUUCUUGCUUGUUGGUGGAUACUACAUUCAGCAAAUGCCGGUAUUUAUAGCAUGGAUGAAGUACUUGUCGUUUAGUCACUACUGCUAUAAGCUUUUAGUGGGAGUCCAGUACACAAAAGAUGAAGUUUAUGAGUGUGCACUAGGAGUGCAUUGCAGAGUGCAAGAUUUUCCAGCAAUUAAAGUUGUGGGGAUUGGAAAUUUGGUCUGGGACGUAGCUGCUUUGACUGUUAUGUUGAUUGGUUUCAGGGUUUUGGCUUAUAUAGGCCUAAGGAGAAGCCAAUUUCAUUAACUUGGACUUUUAUGUUGUAAUUAGUAAAUAAAUACUUGAGCUAGAUUGAUUAAGUAAAUUAAUCUAUGAGCUGAAUCAAGCUAAUGAAGUUGAUCAAUAUAUCUUGACAAUCGCUUGCUGAUCACAUUUUCUUUUCUUUUCUUUUUUCCGUAGAAAAAGUAAUCUCACUGUAAGAAAACAGGCUAAAACCGACCACUUAAAACUGACCGCACCAUUAUUAGAAAUGGAGCCACGUGGGACCACAUUUCCGAGAAUCCAAAUUAGCAUAACCGACCACCUAUACGGUCGGUUAUAACUCUUAAAAACGACCAAUUUGCAUAACCGAUCAGGGUUCAACCAACCACGAUUAGCGGUCGGUUUUAGCCUUAUAACCGACCGAUUGUCGUUAUAACCAACCAACCACGAUUAGCCUUAUAACCGACCGAUUAGCGGUCGGUUUUAGCCUUAUAACCGACCGAUUAGCGGUCGGUUUUAGCCUUAUAACCGACCGAUUAGCGGUCGGUUUUAGCCUUAUAACCGACCGAUUAGCGGUCGGUUUUAGCCUUAUAACCACGAUUGCCGUUUUUGCUUGAGUAGUAAGUUCGAAAAACAUCACAAUUUCAAUAAUCGUUGCAAGUAUGAUAAAGCGUCACAAGUUUAAUCCAACAUAUGUAACCAACUACGGUGUUUGUGAUGAACAUCUGUCGUAAAUUCGGAGAGAAAACCUUAAACUUACGAAGAAUCAAUUGUGCAAAUGCAGGUAGGGUGAUUAUGUAAUUUGAAGGAUUUGCAUUACUCAUAUAAUUCUUCUAAAUUCGUACUGAGGAGCAUUUCUCAAUAAGAAAUGAAAUAUGCAAAAUAAUAAUAUAUAACAAUAAAGUAUUACAAACAUAGAAUUAAAAAGAACCGGAUUUGCACAUGCAGCUGAGAGCUGACAAGAAGAUUGGCUGAAUAGUUGAUAUUAUCAACUAGGAGCAGAGAAUUGGAUGCUUGGAGAAUAUUAUUGUUUCAAUGGAACUACCUAAGAAGAUAACUCAUGUUAAUAUUCUAUGCUCAAAAAAUGCUUCAGUACAUCAUGUAAUUGUUCAAAUUCCUUCAACUAGUGGGUACCUGGAUGUGUAUAAAUAGCCUAUGAAACUAGCUAAAUAAUGCAGUUGAGUUCAGCAAUUUGAAUAAUCUCUGGGUUCCAGCUAAACAAAAGAGUUUAUUCAAUGGCAUCAAUGAAGGCUGAAAAACCUGUUGGAACUUCACUCUUUGGACAAGCCAAGAAGGAGCCUGCCACUGGCAAAGCUACAACAAGUACCACCACCAAAGCUCCGGCUUCCAAGCCAUCCCCGAAGAAAGCUGCCCCAAAGUCUCCUGCACCCAAGAAGAAGGUAACAUAAAAACAGUCGUUAUCCAAAAGAAAACUUACCAGAUACACAAUUUCUUUGUAUUUGGAGUCAUUAAUUAGAAACGCCUAACUAUAGUCUCUGUGUGAAUUUAUUAGGCAGCACCAAAGGCGAAAUCAGCAGCAGCAAAACAGUAACAAGAAUCUGAGGGGAUUGAUAUGUUCUUCUCUGGGAGAGCAUAUGAUGCAGUUACAUAUAUGUCUUUAUCUUUCAAUGUCAAUCUAUAUGAAAUCAAAAUCUGUGUGGCCUAUAUU